rnacentral:lncRNA from 1 species
AAGAGCCUGCCAUAGAAAGAACCUGGAACUCCGGUUACGAAACAUGAUUCAGCUCCUGCUCCUGUUGUUUUCUCAAGAUCCUUUUGGAACUUGGGCAAGGAUUUGAAAAUAGUGUUGAAAUCAUUCCCCAGAAGAUCAUUCAAAAACACUUGAAUUUCGGGCAAUUGAUGCCCCAUUUUCUUGAGCACCUUGUCCACUGUGGCAACAAUUUCCAAGACUGCAAAAAAAGUGUUGGGUCCAGAAGAACAACCUAAGUCUGCAAUGCAUAGGCUGGCCGGAAAGUUGUUGCAGUAGAGAUUUGAUAUGGCUUCCUGGGUAAUGGGCUUUGUCAAGGAUAUUACUUUUUUCUGCACCAUGAAAGUAGAACUUGUUAUUGAAAACUUUUUAGAAAAACGGCAGUAUGUGAUACCUGCAUGAUAAAAAAACAAAACAUCGAAGUUCAUGGAUGCUACAGAUCAAUCAGUAUGUCUCGAUUAUCUUUAAUUUAAUAAAAGGAAACAGUUCGUAUAUACAAUAUAUGCAUGUCAGCUGAUGCAUGAAUAUUGACGAAGAGUUAAAUUCAGCAAGAGGCACACCUGAAGUAGUGAGUUUUGUGUGUAACUGGUAUCCCCAUUUCCUCCCUUCAUGCAAAGAACUUGAGCUACUUCCAUCUCUCCCUUCCUGCCUCUUUACUAAUUGCUCUCUCUCAGUUGGCAAUUGGAAUGUGAAUUGUGUUGAAGGAGAUGCUCCCUAUUUAUAGAGCUUGGGGACCCUACUUCCUCGAAACCCCGCCAGUCACUAUGGGUUGAUAAUCCGAAAGGAAAAGUUACUCUACCGACAUCCACCAGAACAAACCAUACGCAAAAUAACACCCCACGUGGCAUGCUGUCCACCAAUCACUCAUGGGUCUCCUUAUGGUUCAUGAUCUCCAGUCCUGGAGGCCUCAGGCUACCUACUAAGAGCGAUAACUGAAUCUUAAUGGCCAGAUGAGGAGGAUCCUAUCGUUUUAAACUAAUUGCUACGCGCAAUUAGCGACUUUGAUAAACGUAAAUACUUAAUCAACUAUAUGGUCCAAAACUUUUGCUUGACAGCCAGCAAAUGGCACCAGUCAGUGGAUUUUGUUUGAUAUGAUUGCCCAAUCAAUGCAGAAAUGAUGACAUUAACUCUCUUGCUAAGACUUGAUUUCCGUCCUGAUAGCAAUCAUCAUCACAAAAAAGGCAUGAAUGCAUUAUCAGCGCUAUGGCGAUGAUGUCAUUCGCUUUAUAAAAACCUCUCAAGAAGUAUGAAAAAGGUACGUACGUACAAAACCAUUCAAAAUAAUUAGGUCCAUCCUUAUUACUUUCUGACUUGAUCUUCAGAGGGGCGUGCUCGGACCAUAUGUCCAAACAUCUUUUUGUGUAUGAAAGAAGUCUAUAUGCCUCUAGAGAAACUAGACGGACUCAAAUCUAGUUGGCACUGCAUCAACAUUGGUUAUCUGUUAGAUUUUGAAAUUUAGAUGGGACCUCCUUUAAGUUAUAUUAUAUAUAUAUAUAUAUAUAUAUAUAUAUAUAUAUAUAUAUAUAUAUAUAUAUAUAAAUUGAUCUAUCUAUAAAUAAAUUAAGAAGUAAAUAAAAAAAUUGAUCAUCUCUUCUUUUUUCUUUUUCUUUUUUUUUAUCUGAUUCUUUAUUUUCAAUACCUACAAAUGGGAAUAAAAUAAAUACUAAAAAGUUGAGUGAGAUUUUUAAAAUUUUGUUGAAUUAAUAUAGGAUUCCCAAUAGGAUGCUAGCAAACCAACACGUCAAGCCAACACUCCAACGUUUAUUUAGUAAUAUCUUUGACAAUAAAACAUAAUAUGACAAUGAGAGAAUCUAAAAAACUAGGAUUGAUAACUGAUCAUGGAAAGCUUAUUUUAGAAAGGGGUACAUGCACGUUCUGAAAUAUAAAACUAGUAAUGAAGCAGCCAUGUUGAAUGUUGGAUCGAUGAAGCAGCCCUGUUGAAUGUUGGUCAUCCACGCUUAGUCAUGGAAACAGUGACAUUUACGAACGCAAUCUUCUCUCUGGACAUGUGAACAACAACAAUCUUUUUGUACCUGUUGAACACCUCCUCAAUUAUUCCAUCACCGAAGUGGCUUACAAGCAAUGGCUCCGUCACUGCUCUUAUCAACUUGGCCACAUUGUAUCCACAAUCUUUAUGAGCAUCUGAUGGCAGAAUUCACCGCGAUAUGCAUUCCAGUUCACUUCAGAAACCUCUAGCCUAUUUAUGGUAAAGGAUCCUUCCUUUUCAACCUCACAUUUCACUUCAGUUGGGGAUGGUGCAUAUUGAGGAAUAUUGAAGGAAUCCAUUUUCUCCUCGUCAAUGAGCCCCUGGAUUUAAACUUCGUUAAAUUACAUAUGCUAUUGUUGAAUGAUUUAAUCUAUACAAAUUGGCAACAUUAAGGCAUGUAGAAAUUGAAUGUGCACCUCUGCCACCAUAUCGUUGAGAGCUACAGCUAAGAGCUCCCAGAUGUAGCAACAUUCCUUGCUAGAGGGAUUGUCACUUCUUCUUCCUAAAAAUGUUAAAACCAUACUUCCUCCUUCUAAUAGUUCCUCCGACCGACACCUGAGAAACAUGGAGAAAUCUCUUUGGAAUUGCUCAUAGUAUGCUUUAAGCACUCUUGGUGGGCUCGAACUUGCCAUGUAAAUGUUCCCUUUAUUACUCUCCAGUCCUUGAGGAACCUCAUGAACAAUUGAAACUAGCUUACAUGCUUUCUUCUUACUCAAAUAAUGGACAACCAAUGGAGACUGGAAGAAGAAUGGACAAAAUGAAGAUUUUUGCUGGGGAAGAGCCUGCCGUAGAAAGAACCUGGAACUCCGAUUACAAAACAUGAUUCAGCUCUUGCUCCCAUUGUUUUCUCAAGAUCUUUUCAGAACUUGUUCAAGGAUUUGAAAAUGGUGUUGAAAUCAUUCCCCGGCAGAUCAUUCAAAAACACCUGAAUUUCGGGCAAUUGACGGUCCAUUUUCUUGCGCACCUUGUCCACUGUAGUGACAACUUCCAAGACCGCAAAAAAAGUGUUGGGUCUAGAAGAACAACCCAAGUCUACGAUGCAUAGGCUGGCCGUAAAGUUGUUGCAGAAAAGAUUUGUUAUGGCUUCCCCGAUCAUAGGUUUUGUCAAGGAUAUUAUUUUUUUCUGCAUCAUUAGUGUAGAACUAGUCAUUGAAACCUUUUUAGAAAUACGGCAGUAUUUGAUAACUGCACGAUAAAAUAAAAUUAAAAAAAACAAAAAUAAAACAAAACAUCGAAGUGCAUGGGUGCUAGUGAUCAAUUAGCAAAACGGACUGGUGAUCGAUCCAGAAAAGUUAAGGCAAUCAUUUUUGCGUGGAUUGGGCAAUCAUACCAAAAAGAAUCCGCUGACUAAUGUCAUUUGUUGGUCGUCGAGCAAGAGUCUCAUACCAUGUAGUAAACCAUGCAUUUACGUUUGUCAAUGUCACUUAUUAUGUGUAGUAAUUAAUAUUCAUUGACUUUUAAGCGUAAAUGUCGUCUAGGCCAUUGCUCAAGCAUUCGGUGUGAUUAUCCAUCUACUCAAUGCUUGGAAUCUCCGAUUGUGUUGGUUAAUCCGUCUAGGAAUCUCAACUAGCAUGGUUUGCCCAUUCUGUCUAACAUCUAGGAAUAAGGAAAGUUCUUUCCUCUUGCACCAGAUAGAGUUUGUUUUGGUUAAGACAAAUCAUCUGCUUACCUUGAACGGACCAAUGGUUUUUUAUUUGGGGGAGAACAUGUGAAGGGAAACCCCCCACAACAUCUUUGUGGAAUUAAUGAUUUCAUCUUCUUUGAACUCCAAUUCCACGGAACCUUGCAGUCACUAAUGAUUAUGUUGGAUAAGUAAAUAAAAUCUCAUGAAAUUCAACAUUUGUUUUUUAAAUUAAAUUUAUUAAAAUUAGAAUGAAGAUAAUUUUUCAUUCAAUUUAAAAUCUUUAUCCUUUACCAAUAAGUUUGUCAAUAAAUAAUACAAUUAUUGAUGAGUCCAAUAAUAAUUUUUCUAUUUCUAUACCUAAAAUUUGGAGGGUGAAAUAAUAAGAGAAUUAAGAAGGAUGAAGCAAUAAGAAACUCUAAGGCUAUGUUUGGUUGGCGGGAUAUGAUAAAAUAGGAUUAGAUAUAUAUAUCUUAAGAUAUCAUAUCCCAUUGGAUAGGAUAUGCAUAUCCUAUGAUAUGAUUUCCAAUGGAAUAUGAUAUUAUUGGAUAUAUAUAUCGACAUAAUAUUUUAAAAUAGCAUAUCCAAUGAGAUAUGUUAUAUCAUAUUUAUAUUUAAUUUGUAAAGUAAAUAAAAAUAAUAAUAUAGAAUAUAUAUUAUUUUCAAUGUUUAAAAUAAAAAUUAUAUCACAUUCAAAUAUUUUUUAUUUAAAAAAAAUGAAAAUUUUGUUAUGUUUAACGAUAUAAAUUAUUAAAAUAUUUAAACUUUACAAAUAAUUUUUUUAGAUUAUGUUAUUUAAUAUAUAAAAAUAAUUUUUAUAUAUCAUAUAUUAAUAUUAUUUUAUAAAUAUUUUUUUAGUUUCUUUUUUUUUAAUCAUUAAUUUUAUUUAUAAUAAAAAAAAAACUAUUUUGAAAAAUGAGUAUAUUAAAAAACAAAAAAUUGAUAAAAAAAAAAUGAAAUUUUAAUACAUGGAUAUGUAUAUUUCAUAUCUUACCAUGGUAUUAAUAUAUCUCAUUUAAAAAGAGAUGAAAAAAUAAGGUGAAAAUAUAUCUCACCACUUAUCCUAUCUUAUAUUUGGUUAAAUAUAGAAUAGAAUAAGUGAUAUUAUAACUUGUCUUAUCUCAUCACUAGUCAAAUAUAAGACAAAAUAUAAUAUCUUUUCUCUUAUCAUAUCACAUAUUAUAUUCGAUCAAUCAAAUAUGGUCUAAUAAUUUUUUUUGAAGAAGAAAAUUACCAAAUGAUUAGAAACUGCAAUUCCUAUUACAAAGAACUUCUUCGAAUAUUUAUCUAGAUUAUAAUUUUAUUUUUAUCUAACAAUUGAUAAUUCAAAAGGGAAAGUUAUUCUACUGAUACCACAAGGUGAAUAGAACUCGUGACAUCCACCAGAACAAACCAUACAUAAUACAACACGCCAUAUGACAUGCUAUUCACCAAUGAAGUGUCUUUAUGGGUACUACCAUUAAAAGAGAAAUAAGUAAAUCUCAAUGUUUUUAUAAUCAAACUUAUCAAUGAGUCAUAAAAAUGGUUGAUUUACUAUUUACUAAUUGAACCCAUGGUUGAAUUACCAUCAUAAAUAUAUAAUUUAUAUAUUAUAUAAAAUUAAAAAUAAUUAUAAGAAAUUUAAAAUAUAUAUAAUUAUUUUUUUAUAAUAUUUUAUUUUUAUAUUUGAUAUAUCAAAUUAAAUAAUAAAAAUAUUAAUAUUUUAAAUUUUAUUGAAUAGAACAUAUAUAAUAUUUAAGUAUGAAGAUCUAUUUAAAAUGAAUAUAUAUAUAUAUAUAUAUAAUUUUAUUUUCAUGUAUUUUUAUUUUAUUAUAUUAAUUAAUUUAUAUUAUUUUAUAAUUAUCAUUAUAUAAUCAUUUUAUAUAACAAGCACGAAUAAGAUAAGAGAACUUUUGUUGAUUUUUGUGCAAUGAUUCUUGGUGAAAAAUUAGAAAAAAAAACACAGAUUUAACAUGAUUAGGCCGAUUUGCCUACAUCCACAGAAAUAGGAAAUAAGACUUUCAUUGUAUCUCAAAUUAGAGUUACAUAAAAAGGUAUUUAUACUAAUCUUCAGAUAAUAAAAUUUCAAAAAUACCCCUGAAUUGUACUACGAGAGGGCGUUGCCCCUGCACCCCUCCCUAACCUAUUAUUUGCCCUCAAAUAAAUAGCAAAUGUCAUCAUUCCACUCCAACAUUUGCCCCAUUUUUUUUCAUAUGUAUGAACACAUAUUACAACUUCCAACUUUUUAAAAGAACGUUAAAUUGAUGUUUCAUAUGAAUCAAACCUGCUCAAAUAAUUACACACACGAAAAAAACAAAAAUAAAAUGGGUUUAUUUAUUUUCUUUGCGUACACGAAACUAAAAACAAUUGGCAAACAAUGAAAACAAUACUAACAACGUGGGCAAAUGUUAUUCUACCGACAUCCACAGAACAAACCAUACGCAAAAUAACACCCCACGUGGCAUGCUGUCCACCAAUCACUUAUGGUUCAUGAUCUCCAGUCCUGGAGGCGUCAGGCUACCUACUGAGAGCGAUAACUAAAUCCUAUUGGCCAGAUGGGGAGGAUCCUAUCGUUUUAAAGUAUUCUAGCUUAUUACAAUACGCUUAAGAAAAACUAAAAUUAUUUGUUAGUCCUGGGUUUAUGUGUGAAUCUCACAUUACUUUAGAAACAAAUUAAUAAAUCAGUUUUUGUCUUAUCCAUCUGGUAUUUGGUAUUGAGUGGCGAUUGAUUUUCAUAUGUAAUGAGAAAGUACCAGACAACAAAAGGGAAAUUUGGCUUUUUACUCACUAAUUAAAAAAAAAAACCUAUUAAAUUGAUAAAAUAUAAAAAUAGAAACUCAAUUUUUAUAAAUAAGUUUUAUUUUCUUUGAUUUAAAAUAAUUUUAAAAAUAUUCACUUUUUCAUAAGUUAGAUGAUUAUUUUCUAAAGUGACUUUUUAUUUAUCACAUAAAAACUGAUUUGAGAUCAAUAAAAUAAAAAAUUUUAAGAAUUAAAAAUACAAUUAAAACUAAAAAUAUAAAAAUAAAAUAUUAAAUUUCACUUCAUUAAAUCAUACUAGUAGAAUCAUACUUGUAGAAAAUAUAGAUUUAAAAAAGAGUUGGAAAUAUAAUAGGAAUUGAUAUUUUAUUUUUAAAAUUUUUAAGUUUUUUUGUUUUAAUUGUAUUUAAUUUUUAAGUAUUUUAGUUUUAAUUGUCUUUUUAAUUCUUAAAAUUUCUUAUUUUAUUAUUGAUGUCAACUAAAAAAAAAUUAAGAAUAUGAAUGAAUUUAUAUAAUACAAGAUUUAAUUCAUUAUUAAUUGGGGAAUUAAAAUCAUUUUAUUUAUACUUGAGGGCCUGAAUAAUUUUUUUUAAAUGAUUUGUAUUUCAUAUUUUACAAUAACAAAUUUAUAAUAUAUUUAUUUGCAAUAUAUUUUUAUUAAAUUAAAAUGAUAAAUUAAUUUUUUAAUAAUUUUAUUUAAUAUAAAAAAAAUAUUUCAAGAAAUAAUUAUUAUCUUAUAAAAAAAUGUAUGUAUUUUAAAAUAUUUUUAAAUGAAUGAAGAUAAAUCCAUUUUAUAAAAAUUGAGGUUCCUUUUUCAUAUAUUUUUUAAAUUAGUAAAUCAAAACCCAUUUAAAAAAAAAAAAAAAAUAGAUACGAGAACUUCUAACCUUUAAAAAGAAUGUAACAUUUUAGGUUUGAUAUGCAUAAAGGAAACUCGAAACAAUCGAUCGGCAAACAACAAAAAUAAUAUUAAUAGGGUCUGUCAUAAUACCAAAUGAUUUUUCUUUUGCUAUCUAUCAAAUAUUCAAGUUAAAUCAUAUAUAUAUAAUGUUUUAUCUCAUUAUAUGUAUUAUAAUCCGCUUAUAUAUACCAUUACUCAACCAUUUAGAUCUUAUCAUAUAUAUUCAAUUAUCCAUAUAUAUGCUUCAGAGCUAUUGUCUCGGGUACCAAUAACGGUCGCAUGAAACACGAUGAUGCAUGAAAGUAGGACAAGGUGAAGGUGGGCGCAUGUGUUGGCCGCUUUCUUAACAAACCUGUAAACGUUUCUUAGCCGAUGUUUCCAUGCAUCACGCAGCCUCAAUCAAAGAUGCCAAUCGAGUAGUUACUUUAGUUGAAAAAUGUAGGUAUUUGUAAAAAGUGAUGCGCGUGGAGGAAAGGCCUGACCCACCGCAUGAACUAGGUCUAGUUCUGAUCCCAUGAAUAUGAGUGUCGGUUGGCGUCUUAUUUUGAUUAUUAAUGGUCAUUUAGUCUAAGGAAAAUUUUUCAUAAGAAUGGGAGGUACGAAAAUAGCUUCGUUUUAUUCGGUGUUUGUAAAUCUAAUUCAAUUUUCAGAUUUCAGAUAAUACAGAAAUAAUCGAAAGAUAUAUGCAAAUAGAAUAGCUAAAGGGUCAUCUUAUCACAAAGAGCUUCCUGUACACAGUAAUCUGUUUAAUCAGCAGUUCCAGUCCAUAUCUGGAAGUGAAGCGAGUGCAAUACAUUAUGGCAUGAAGAUGCCCCACACUCCUUGAAUAAUGGUUUUGGCCUUAUGUUCUGAGGAAAAUAUGGGCCACGGGCCAGCACGCUUUUUUUAUUUUUGAUAGGGAAGGGGUCCUUAUGUUUUCCUGCAUGGAUGACCCAACACUUCUUUCGGAAAUAAUUUCCAGCAGUAAUUGAAGUGACAGAAAGAUGGCCUAAUACUUCUUCCCAAUAAUAAAGUCAAGGGAUUACUGAAGAUUUAAACACAAAACCGCGAAUCUGGAAAUAAAACCAAACCAACCAAAUUUCUAUCACAACAUCUCCAUUGAUUAAGGCGCUCAUAAGGGUAAAUGUUACCAUUCUUCAUAUUUUUGACGAGAUAGUUUGCCUAAAGUUUAGAAAAUUGAUGAAUAUCUUUGAGGUGCACAAUUGAGAGAAUAUUUGUCACCUUAAAGUAUAAAUGGAAAAUCCUACUUAAAAUACAUAAUUUGCCUCUUUAAAACAAGUAAAUGUUAUGGUUCUUCACAAUUUCAUAAGAAUUAUGGAACAACAUAUAUAAAAUUUAAACCUUAUGAUGACAAUGGACUUAUGGAGCAAGACAACUCAUGUUAUGCAAUAAAUAAAUAAAUAAAUAAUAAUAAAAAAAAGGGAGAGAUGAAGAAGUAAUCAAAUUAUAAAUCAUCUUAUAUCUUAUUAAUGUUUUAUUAUGACAAUAAAAUGUAAGAAUAAACAUACAUACAUACAUAUAUCUUAUUAUGAUAGAAGAUUUUGUCUUCUUGUUUAUCAUUUAUUAGUAAAGGUUUUUUUGAAAAGAAAAAAAAAAAGAAAAUUAAGCUAACAUGUAAUUAGAUACUUUAGGAUUUUUAUUUUUUUUUUGUUAUAAGUCUUAAAGCAACUUGAUUUUAAAACCUAAAACAUUCUUAAAGUCAUUUUUUUUAACUUAUUAAUUUUUUUUAAAGCAAGUUUGUCUUAAUGAAAAAGUUCAUAUUUUUCUGUCUUAAUAGAAAAUGUCACUUCUCUUUUUUCUUUUUCCCGCUUUUAACUUUGUUAUAAUUCAAAUCCAAUUUCUCAUACAAAAUUAAAUCAAAUUCAUUUUUUAAAUUUUUGAAUAAACCUUAUUUUAAAAACUAAUUAAACAACUUUAAUUUUGUGUAAUUUGAAUGAAAAAUGAAUUUACUAUGAAUUAGAAAAAUUGUAAUAAAGAAGAAUGUAAAUAUGACUAAAAUAGGUUCAUUUUUGUUCUAUUUUUCUCUUAUUUCUCAAGAAAAUUUAAAUAUAAAAUUUUCUCAUGAAUUAUUAAUCAAAAACUAAAUCAAAAUAGUAUAAUUUGGAUAAGAAAUUAAUCCAAAAUAAAUUCACAAAUUUCAAAACAAAUACCAAAAUUCUAUCACAUGCAACCACUGUUUUUGUUUCAUAAUUCAUUCAAUUCUCAAUAAAAUUAAAGGUCAUAAAUUUUUAUAGAUUUUCUAUUCAAAACUAAAAGUACAAAAAAUAUUAAAAACCAUAAAAUUUAGAUUAGAAACAAAAUUUACUUCAAAUCUUCAAAGCUCAACUUGUGAUUGUACAACAAAACCAAAAUUAACAAUCAUUCAUUUCAAUGAAUUUUCUUUAAUUAGAACUCCAAAAGGUAUAUAAUUUAUAUUUAUCUAUAUAUCUAUUUCAAAUUAAUUUUGAAAAAAAAAUAUAGAAUUUGAUAUUUUAUCCCAAAUAAUUUUAUUUUAUUUUUUAAAAUUAACUAAUUAAUUUAAAUAAUUGAACUCAUAUUUCAAUCAAGAAUCCAUAAAAUGUAAAGGUACACCACAUCAAAACAAGUAUUGGUUUAGAGGAUGUUUGGUGCACAAUUUAAUGACUUAAUAUAACUUUAACUUAAUUUAAGUCAUUAAGUAACAUAAAUAUGUUUAGUAAAAUAACUUCAUAUUAUAAUUUAAAAUUGUUUUUAACAUAUUAAGCCAAAAUAGUUAAUUUAUCCUUAAUUUCAAAUCAUUUUAACUUUAUUUGCCCAUAUUAGUGAGAGUAUUUUUAAAAAUUAUAAUUCCACAUUCAUAAUUCAUUUUUUAUAAUAAAUAUUUUAUGAUUAUUUUAUGUAUCGACAAUACUUUAAAUAUGAAUAUUUAUAAAUAAAUUUAUUACUUAAAAUUAAUAUCAAUGCAAUAAAUAUUAGUUAAAAUUAAUAAGGGUAAACGUAUCAAUUUAAUGAUUUAGGAUAAAUUUUAAAUUAACUUUAACAAACAAUUUUAAUACUCAAAGUAAAAAAUAAGUAAUAAGUUUUAAUCUAAUAACUUAAAGAUAAUUUAAUUUAAAAAUCAUUUAAGUUAUUAAAUAAUAAGUAUUAAAUUUUACUCAACACCCACUUAGAAAUUUUCUAACAUUUUCUUACCAAUCAAAUAUACUUUGAAAUUUUCGUAAUUAUCUAAUUACUAACUUCCUAUUAUACAUAAUUAAUCUUCAAAAAUUUUUAUUAUGACAAUAAAUUAUGAUAUUUUGAAAUGUUUGGAAAUAUGUUAAGUUAAUAUAUUUUUUUUAUAUGAUUAGUCUUUUCCUAAUAAUUAAUUUUAUAGAUUUUUAUGACAUGUAAAAUAAAUAAAUUUAAUAUUUAUAACAUUAAAAUAUUAAUAAAAGCAAACAACUAAUACUGAAUAACAUUCAAAAAGUAAUAAAAAACAAAUGACCACUAUUUAUAUUAAGUUUCAAUUCAUGCCUAUUUAAAUUUCACACAAAGAAACAAACACAAUUUUUGUUUUGCUUUGAAAAACUAUUACCUUAUGAUAACUUUUGUUUAUUUAUCUGGUUUUUUCAAAAAGUACAUUUCAAAAUUUUCCUUUAGUGAUAAAAAUAUUAUUAUUAUUAUUAUUAUUAUUAUAUACAUGUUUAUUUAUCCUUUAAUCAUGAAAAUUAUUGUUUUUUUUAUAUUUUUUCCUUGUUUAAUUAAUUUUCAAAAUUUUUAAUCAUGAUAAAAAAAUAUCUUUAUUUUUUUAAUACACUAUAAUAAUAUAAUAAUAUUUAUAAUGCCAUUUUUAAUAAUUUAUUAAAAUUAAAAACAUUUUUAUUAUUAUUUUAUAGCUACCAAAACAUAUUAUUAUAAUUAUUUUAGUUAGAGUAUGUGUGGACCCCGUAUUUCGGCUCAUGCGCUUCCACUCGAUGGCAAGCUUGAUUUUUAUUUUGAAAAAUGAUUUAUUUAUUAAGAAAAUGACUUAGAGUCGCCACUUAUUUUUGUUUUAUUUUUAAAGGGUAAACAAAAUAAGAAAAAAAACCCUAAGUGUGACUCCUUAUUUGGAAAAGGUGGUCUAUGAAAAAUCGGAUAGGCUCAAGGGUCAGGUUACUUAUUGGGAAGGUACGGUAAAGAUCGUAACACCCCUCUAAGUCCCUAAAGUCGGGUCUCUACUAAUAAAAUAAAUCAAUCAUGACAAUUGAUGAGGGAAUCAAUGAAUACUCAGAGUGAUCAUGCACAUAUGAGAAUCUAAACAUGCAUAUAAAAAGACCAGAAAGGGAGUGGAUGCGUAUCUGGGUGACGAGCCACAAUGUCCUAUCAAGAAAUAGGGUUAAUGCAUAAUAAUGAACAUGAAACAUGUCACUCAUGUCACCAAACAAGAUGAGGAACCACCAAUAGCACGUAUGACACUUCAUUCAAAAUUCAUUCUUAUUUUAAAGAAAAUUUUAUUUGAUGUUGGGCCCCUACCAAAGCCUAAUUUAUUUUUGCAUGUAACAAUUCCAAUAACUCUAUUAUUCGGAAUUACGGAAUUUAAUUCUUGCUUGUUUUAAAACAUAUUAAAAAUAGAGGAGGUGUGAAAAUGGCUUGCCAAAAAGAAAUAUGACAGCAAAAUUUUAUUGGAAAUGAGAUUUUGAGUGAUUUUAAAAAAUCCUAAAAAUGAAAAAUAAAUAAAUUAUUUAAUAAAAAUGGAGUUUGGAAAAUUAAAAAGAAAACUAGAAUCCAGGAAAUUAUAUGGAAAAUGGGAGUGUAAGGAAUUAUUUUAAAAUUCUAAAAUGAGGAAAUAAUAAUAAUGAAAAAAAAUGAGGAAAGAUACGCAACCUAAAGUUGCAUGCCCAAAAUGGCCAUGCAAGCCAUGCAGUAGGGAUGGAGCUAUUCUGGAGGGGUGCUCAUAUUCAAAUUAAAAAGGCAAAAUUGAGAUUCUCAAGUGUCAUGUUCACUCAUCAUCUUCAUCGUCGUCGUCAACCCCAGCCGCAGAGUUCAGUGCAUUCAACCUCUCUAUCAACUUAGGUGGUGUUUGUUUUUUUACUUAAUUCUAAAUAGAACCUUAAUACUUAAUAGCAUUAAAUAUUAGGUUGUUUGUUUUUGUUGUAUUUUAUUUCUAUUAAGUAUUAAAAAGUAAAAAAAACAAUUGUGUUAUUUUUUCUAUUAGAAAAAGCCACAUAUUUUGGCUUUUUCUAUUUAGUAAAAAGUUUAUAAUAAGUCAUGAAAAAGUAAAAAAAAACAAACAACCUAAAUUCUAAAACUAAAUGGUUUUCAGCAAAAAGCCAAAAAAACAAACACCACCUUAGCCUUUCUUUCCUCAUAUUCAGAAUCCCAACUACAAAACUUGUUAUGACAUUCAAAUUUACCAAGAAAAAAAAAAAGUAAAUAAAAAAUUUAUUUAUCCCGUGCCUCGUGGACGAAUUCCAAGUCCUGUCCUUAUAUUGGCACCCAUUUCCUUGAGGUCUUCUACCUUGUGAAUGUCAGAAGCGUGGAGGACGCCAAAGACGGCUGAGCAGCAGCGCCGAUGAUGAGGGAGGCGACGCCAAAGGCUUUAACUGGCAUGAGGCGAGAGUCGCCGACCCCACCUCUCUGGUACGAGAAUACAGAAAGAACUCAGAAAUAUGAAGAGAAGAAGAAGAUGUGCAGAGCAUCUGUUUGAGAGAAAACUAGAAAGACGGAAACUGAAAUUGAUUUAUAUCCCACUACAACACUGAUCAAUCCUCUAUUUCUUAUAUAUAAGAAUUUAAAGAUCAGUUACUAACAAACACAUCUAAUUAGUUACAACAAACAGCCUGUUAACUACUUAAAUAACAGUUUGUUAAGUUGUUAACUACUUGACAUCCCCCCUCAAGCACAUAGGACGAGAAAGAACUGUGAGUUUGCUUCGGAGAUGGAGGAAACGUUGAGUUGAAAGAGCUUUGGUCAAGAUAUCAGCAACUUGAUCUUCAAAUGGUAGAAAUCGAACAUCAAGAAUUUUUUGCAAGACUUGCUCACGAACAAAAUGAUAAUCAAUUUCCACAUGUUUAGCCCGAGAAUGAAGGACGAGAUUUGUAGCUAAAUAAGUAGUGCUGAGAUUAUCACAAUAAAGAACAUGAGGCUGAAACAGGGGAACAAAAAGUUCUUUAAGCAGGGACUGGAUCCAAGUGAGUUCAGUUGCUGCAUUAGCCAAGCCCUUAUAAUCGAAUUCAGUACUAGAGCGUGAAACCACCUUUUGUUUAGAAGCUGACCAAGAGACCAGAUUGCCUCCAAAAAAUAUGCAGUAGCCACUGGUGCUAUGUCUAUCAUCAGGGCAAGAUGCCCAAUCCGCAUCUAUAUAGGCAAUAAGAUCAAGGGAAGAAGAUGGUUGGAAAGAAAACCCAUAAAACAAUGAACCUUUGAGAUAACGAAGGACACGCUUCACGGCUUGAAGAUGAGUAGAGGUUGGAGCAUGCAUAAAUUGGCAAAGCUUAUUAACGGUAUAAGCAAUGUCUGGUCUAGUGAUUGUGCAAUACUGUAGGGCACCCACAAGACUCCGGUACAAGGUGGGAUCUUCUAAUCUGGUACCAUCAGCUAUGGAAAGAACAGGGCCAGCCGCCAUUGGGGAAGUCAUGGACUUUGAUUCAGACAAACCAGCACGUUGAAGAAGAUCACAGAUAUAUCUAGCUUGACUUAAAUGCAAAGAAGAUCCAGAAUUCAACACCUCUAUUCCAAGAAAGAAGUUGAGAGGACCAAGAUCCUUGAGAGCAAAGCAAGAGUUUAAGGAAGAUAUAAGUUGUUCAAUGAACAAAGAACUUGAGCCAGUGACAAUAAUAUCAUCAACAUAAACCAAGAUAACAAGCAUGGCAGAAUUGUUACAGUAAACAAACAUUGAUGUAUCUGCUUGAGACAUGGAAAAACCCCAUUUAACUAAGGCAGAGCUGAGUUUGGUGAACCAAGCCCGUGGAGCUUGCUUCAGACCAUACAAUGCCUUGGUAAGCUUACAAACAAAGUUGGGCUUAGAGGGAUCCACAAAGCCUGGGGAUUGUGUCAUAAAAACUUGCUCAGAUAAAUCACCAUUAAGAAAGGCAUUAUGAACAUCAAGUUGUCUGAUGGACCAGUUUUUACUUAAUGCCAAAGAGAGAACCACACAAAUAGUAGUAGGUUUAACCACGGGACUGAAGAUUUCAAAGUAAUCAAAACAGAGAGUUUGAUGAAAUCCUUUCGCCACCAAACGUGCUUUAUAGCGUUCAACAGUUCUAUCAGGUUUGUAUUUCAAUUUAUAAACCCAGCGACAUCCAAUGAUAUUAUGAUUAGACGGAGAAGGAACUAGGACCCAUGUUUUAUUGUUCAUAAGAGCUUCAAAUUCAAGGUGCAUAGCUUGCUGCCAUUCAGAAACUUUAGCAGUUUCCUUGAAGGAAUUCGAUUCACAAGGUGAAUGAAAAAUAGUCUCAGUAGGGGACAUAAAUAUCUUGGGUUUGAAAAUGCCAUUUUUGGCAAAUGUUGUCAUGGGAUGACAAGAAGGAGGAACAUGAGAGAAAGACGGUUGAACUAUUGGAAUAGGUGCAACUUUAGAAGAGGAAAUUGACACACUAUCAUCAGAGAUUGGGACCAGCUUUGAAGAUGGACUGGAUGAGGAAGGCAAGAGAGAAGAUAUUGGAGUGGUUAGUAUUACUAAAGGAAUGGCACAAUGAGAAGAGGAAACAUGACAAGGAGGCUGAACUGUAGAAGGCUUAGCAAAUGGGAAAUCUAGUUCAUAAAAAAUAACAUGUUGUGAUAUAUGUAUUUUUCUAGUGGACAUGUUCAAACAGAGAUAUCCUUUAUGCUUAGAACUGUAGCCAAUAAAGGUGCAUUUAACUGAUCGAUAUGCAAAUUUAUGGCGAUUAAAAGGGCGGAGAAAAGGAUAACAAGUGCAACCAUAGACAUGAAGAAAAGAUUAAUUUGGUAGACAAUGGUAAAAAGUCUUAUAUGGAGAAGAAAAAUUCAGCACAGAGGAAGGAAGCCUAUUAAUCAAAUAUAAAGCAGAUUGGAAGUCAAAAGGUCAAUAUUUAUGUGGAAUAGAAGCAUGAGCAAGCAAGGAAAGACCUACUUCAACCACAUGCCUAUGUUUUCUCUCCACACAACCAUUUUGUUGAGAAGUGGAUGGACAAGAUACUCUAUGCAGAAUCUCAAACUUACACAAGGUAUUAGUAAAGGCUUGAAACUCUUCUCCCCAAUCAGUUUGAAUCAUUCUAACUUUAGUAUCAAAUUGAGUCUCAAUCAUUACUUUGAAUUGCAAAAAUGCAGAGAUAGCUUGAUUUUUAGAAGCUAGUAGAUACAACCAAGAAAAUCUUGUAUGGUCAUCCACAAAGAGCACAAAGUAUCUGGCACCAUUAGCACCAACAACAGGGUCAAGACCCCAUAGAUCAGAAUGUACAAGAGCAAAAGGCCGAGAGGCUCUGGAUUCAGACAAAGUAAAAGGUAAGCGAUGACUCUUUUCCAUUUGACAAGGUUCACAAACACCUGUCCAAUGUUCUGGGGGCAAGCUACAAGGACUCAGAACUUUAUUGACUAUUUUACAUGCAAGAUGGCCUAACCUGAAAUGCCAUAGAACUGCCUUAUUGGGAAGUUGUAAUGUAGAUGACAUACAUGGGACCUCAGUUGUCAAGCUUGUUCUUCCAGCAAGUUUAUUAUCAUCAGGAUCUUGAUAUCUUCUACUAGGUGUUGAAGACGACAGUUUGUAUAAGCCAUAGUUAAGGUUGCCUUGGAGAAGAGCCUUCUUCGAAGCUUGAUCCUUCACCACAAAUCCAUUGGUAAAGAGUUCCACAGUAACAUUAUUGUUAGUACACAACCUAUUCACACUUAUCAGAUUGGUUGUCAGUUGUGGAACAUGUAAAAUAUUCUUUAGAUUUAAUGACCGAGAAACUGAAGAAAUAGUGGAGUGUCCAAUAUUUGAGAUAUUUAAACGAUUACCAUUUCCAACGAUGACUUUGUCUGAACCAGCAAAUGGAGUAUGUGAAUUCAAAUUGUUGAGAUUUGGAGUUAGGUGAUGCGUAGCUCCGGUAUCCAUGUACCAGCUUCCAUCUCCAACAGUGGACGGAGUUGCAACCAUUGCAGCAAGCUGAUUGUUCAUUGUUGGUUGAUAAGUUGAUCAAAUCUAUGAUAGCAAUUAAUCGCAAUGUGACCAUAUUUACCACACACUUGGCAUUGUGGUUUUCCAUUGCUGCCACCAGAAACAUUAUUGUAGUUUCCAGAUGAGUAAAAAUGGUUAUUAAAGCUACCUCUUCCUGGACCAUGUCCAAAAUUUCCACCAUUGUUGUUAUAGUGGCCUCUCCCACGGCUUCUACCAAAAUUUUGAUGAUUAAAUUGUUGUGGAUUCUAACUGCCUCUACCUUGAGUCUUGAAUUGACCAGACUUUUGAUUUUUUUUUUUUUUGUGACCUUGAAGGUUCAUUGUUGCAAAAUUUGCUUGUAGGAGAUUUGUUUCUUUUGUUGUGUGUUGUUGUUCCAAUCAAUUUUCAUGAGUCAAGAGCAUGCUGUGAAUUUCUUCUAGGCUUAAUGAUUCAUGCCCAGAGGUAACUGAAAUGACAAACAAAUUGUACUCUACUCUGAGUCCUGCUAGUAAAUAGAGAAUUCGAUCUUGCUCUGUAAUGUUUUCUCCAAUUGCAACCAGGUUAUCUACAAUGGACUUGAUUUUGAGUAGAUAUUCCAUCAUACUCAAUCCUUAUUUCUUUGUUGUUUGCAGUUGGAAGCGAAGCUGCAUGAUACGAGCCUUUGAAGCUGCUGAAAAUUUUUUCUCCAGAGCAGUCCAGAUUUUUGAUGCAGUAUCAAGUCCGAUAAUUUGUGCCAUCACUCCUUCUGUUAAAGAAGAAUAGAUCCAACACAUUACUAAGCGAUUCUGACGUUGCCAUAUAUUGUAUUCUGGAUUUAUGUUCUCUGAAUCGCCAAGAAAACGUGAAGAAGCAGGGAUUUUGCCAUGGAUCAUCUCUUCAAGGCCAUUUGCAAUGAUGAUGUUCAACAUCUAAGUUCGCCACAGUAAGUAAUUUGAUUGAUCAAGUCUUACCGCGAAUGCUUGAUUCAAUGAUGGCAUUGUAUGAUGAGUAAAACUGGAGUUAGGAUGAUCCGUGGAAGAUGUUGAUCCUUCUGAUGCCAUGAAAAAAAGAUUUGCAGAUGUUAGUUGAUGAGAAAGAACUUAGAGAUAUGAAGAGAAGAAGAAGAUGUGUAGAGCAUCUGUUUGAGAGAAAACCAGAAAGACGGAAACUGAAAUUGAGCUAUAUCCCACUACAACACUGAUCAGUCCUCUGUUUCUUAUAUACAAGAAUUUAAAGAUCAGUUACUGACAAACACAUCUAAUUAGUUACAACAAACAGCCUGUUAACUACUUAAAUAACAGUUUGUUAAGUUGUUAACUACUUGACAAAUACGUCCCACCCUAAUUAGGCGGCGCUUGCCAGAGCCCACCACCAAUGACUACCAUCGCCACUAUCGUGGCCAUUUUCCUCCAUUUCUCUUCUGCUGCAGCUGCCAUUAGUUCGUCAAAGUUCUCAGUCUUCCCCAACAAUAUCUCGAUCUUGGUUUUUUGGAUAGGUCGACCUCUUGAUUCAUCUUUCAUAUCAACAGUAGAUGUCAUGAUCUUUUUCUCGACAACCAAUCCAUUGUUUUUUAGAAUUUCAGCAAUGGUAACAACAGUAGCAAUAGCCAUUCCUAGGGCAGAGAGUUCCACCUCGUUGUGCUGCUGCAUGUGCCUUUUGGCGAGAUUAACAUAGAAAAACAAGGGCUUCUUGGUGUUAGAGACCUGAAUCUGAUUCUUCUUGUGAGAAUCUGCAAUGUUCAUGUUGUUCACUCCCUUUGUGAUUUCUUCCACAGCUUAAACAAACCCACAAACCCUAACCCUAGCCCUCGUCGAAGAUGAGAUAAUGAUGAGAGUGAAAGAAAAGGCACAAAGAAACAGACACCUCUUCUACAAACAAGUGAGGCAACAGCCAAUUUUGAAAGGUGACCAUUUAAUCAACUGAGUCCUUGACCUCCAAUAGCAAAACCCUACUCAUCAAACCAUAGUCCAUUCUCACUAUAAUAACCACCUUCAAAACUAAAACUGAUAGGGCCUGGAGUUGUUGAAAAAUCGAAAGGCUCUUCAUGAGAGACCUUCUCAGACCAUUUCCCAAGGGUUUCUCGUGGAGCUUAUAAAAAAGUUUGACAUGCCUGCUCUUUGAUAACAUCUUCAGCCUGAGGACAUGUAUCCUUAUAGGAGUUCAUCACCAGAUCCGGGUCUUCUUCCUCACAGCCCAUGCAUUUGGAUAAGAGCCACAAGAAGGAAGAAACCAUGGAAACAGAGCAUUAAAGAAAACAAAUAAAGAUACCAUCAAAUGUGGCUCCACUUCAUGGGUUAUCAGUGAGCCUGCUAACUAGGUAGGAAAAUCCAUGUCAAUAUGAACAGGUCAUGAUUCUCAAGCAUUUCACAGUGGAAUUGAAACAGAGUGAGGUCAUCUUCUAGCAAAAACCAAUGGGAAAGAGAGACAAAAAGCUAAAACAAUAAAUCCACAUUCAUCCCAUAAAAUCAACAGAAAUCAAACAAUGGGGGUAUCCACACUCAAACUAGCAAACAAUACCCAGAAUCAGCAGGAAGAAUAAUGGAUAAAUAAUGAUAAUAAGAAAAAGACUGGAAAGUCAUGAUAAACUUACUUGGAGAUCCUCCAUUGUCUUGGCUUCAAGCAACCCCCAUCCUCUCCAAAAUCAACAAAACCAGUGAGCCAGCUAAACCAUCCUCCUCUGAUCUUCUUCUACUGUUCCUCAUUUCUUCCUCUGGAAAUCAGAAUCCUCAUUUUCUCCUCCUUGCACCUCUCUAAAAACAGCUACACCAAUUAUUCUCCUACUCUCGUUUUCUUCUCCUUUCAAGAAUGGCUCUCUGACAGCCUGCUCACUCUCUUUGUUUCACAGCUUUUUCUCCCUAAAACUCUCGGAAAAAUAUCUUUCCAUCAUCUCUUGUAUUCUCUCAAGCUACCUCCUCUAAGAAAGAAUUUCCUCAACUCCCCCUCCCUCAAAAGAAUCUCUCUCUGUAGCAGCUUAUUCUCUCUAAAACUCUGUUUCCUCAGCUUGCUUCUCAAGAAUGUCUGUUAAGCCAACCCUUGAGAAAUAUCUCUCUCUAUGUUUUUCUCCCACUCAGCAAAAUAACCCCCUCUUAUCAGAAAAAUCCCCCAUCAGAAAACCCAUCUGCUCUCCUCCCUCUAGCAAAACUCCUCAUCCCAAAAUAUCUCAUUCUCCCCACAUCUCCAAACGCACCUCCCUCUCUCGCUGCCUGAAUCCCUGCUCCCUUGCAAUGGUCUGCAACUUUUCUUUGGAAUCUUCUUACCACGUGUCGACCUCUCACUGCCUCUCAAAAGCACUAUUGUGAUUCCCUAGCAACCAGUCAUGAAGCAACACGUGGUCACCCUGGAUCGUAACACUUGGCAAAAUUAAGCUACAGAAAAAAAAAAAAAAAAACCUCUCAUAAUGGGGGUCUACCUUAUGUUUUACAAUGUUUUUAUUUAAAGCAUUUCUCGUGAAAGUGUUUCUUUUAAAUAUGUUAUUAAAAAAAUCACUUAUCAAUUUUUAUUUUUUUUUUCAAUAAGCACUCUAAAUAAAUUUUCAACAUUUUAGAAGUGUUUUUCAAAAUGAUUUCAAGUGUGUUUGACAAUAAUUUUAGAAAACGUUUAUAGUAUUUUUAAUAUUUAAAUGAUGAAAAAUUUCAAGUAUUAAAAAUAUUAGGAAUACUUUCUAAAAUUACUAUCAAAUAGGCUCUUGAUUUUUUAUAAAAUCACAUUUUAUACUAUUAGUGUUUUCUAAACGUAAUAUCAAAUAAUCUUAUAUUUUUAUAAAACGGUUCUAACAUAAUGGUGAUGGAUAAAUGCUCAAGAGGUAGGGGGGCUCUAAGUCGGUUCUUUAAGGAAUUUUUUAAUAAUUAUUUAUUUAUCAUUGUAUGAGUGAUUCACAUAACUACCCAAAUCUUGAGUCGUUAAUUACACCUAGCCUAUUAGGCAAUGACUAGCUUACACCUACUUUGUCUGUUGCUUUCCCAUAAAGUUGUAACCCCCAAACCUAAUUUAGGGGUAAAAUCAUAAUUUAAAAAUUAUUAAUUAAUUAAAGUAAUUUAAUUAGGAUUAAAAGGUAUUUUCGUAUUUAAAACCCCUAAAUAUAAAUUAGAUCUUUCUUAUAUUCUUUAUUCAGAAAACCCUUUUACACCGAGAUAAGAAAAAUGGGUUGAAGAUUUAGAGGUUUAGAGUUUAAAAAUCAAUUUUUCAAAUAAGAUUUUUAAUCCUUAAAUUAAUAUUUUAUAUUCAUUAAUUAGUUUUAAACAUUUUAGAUAUUAUUUGGAAUAUCUCAAUUUUGAUUAAAGUUCGUUUAAUUAAUUUCUAGGUAAAAAAGAUUAAAAAUUUAUGAACAUAGUUUGAUUUAUUAAUGGAGAUUGAUAAUUUUUUUAUUACUCAAAUGAAUAGAUCUAGAUAAAAAUAAAAUAAAAUAAAAAUUAUAUAGUUUUAGAUGUGAAAAUUUCAUAAAUUUUGUGAGUAUUGAGGUUAAAAGUUUUGACUUUAGAGAGGAAAAAAAAAUGAUGAAAGAUGUGUAGGAAAUAUUUGGCAUGUUGAAAAAAAAAAAAAAAGAAUUGCAUGGGUGUAGACCCCCCUUUUGGGGCCAUUCUGGCAGCUGCUCAUUUUGCCACGUGGAAGGGCCUUACCCCACCACGUGUUUUCUCUUGAGAGGCUGGUGCGGAAUCAAAUGAUGCUUUUAGGAUGCCAAUGGAGGUUUGACAGGUGGCAUAGGAUUCUUCUAGAAGAAGGGAGCGUGCUUUCCGUUAGGAGGUGUUGCCAGCUGCAUGAAGGGAGUGGUGGAGGCUGGCAGCUGCAGGGAGGGGGUCUGGGCUGCAGAGUGUAGUGGUGCUGGGGGUGGCUUUUUCCAGAGUUAUUGUUGUAGGGGCAAAGCAGGUAGUGGGGAGAUCGGCCUAGAAGAGGAAGGUGGCAGAGAUCUUUAGAGGUAGGAGCUUUUGUUUGGUUGUUUAGAGAGGAGGGAGAGAUAUUUUUUAUUAGGGGGGAUCCCGGAGUUGAAAAAAGAGAGGAGAGGCGUAUGAGAAGGUGGUGAGAGAGAGACAGCUGGGAGUAGGGGUAUUCGUUGAGCGAGAGAGAAGGUAUUCGUUUAGCUUGAGAGGAAUCUCUUGAGCUGGAGGGAAGCUUUCAGGGAAAUAGAGGGAGCUGGGGAGGAGGAUAGUAGGAGUUUUCCAUUGCUGUAGGAGGGUGGUCUUGGCUGCUGCGGUUGGAGAGAUUUUUUUUUUGCCUAAGGGAAGAGGAUAGAGGGAGAGAUUAGAGAGUGGAGAAGAGGUGCUGGGGAGAUCGUUUUACAAAGGUAUUUUGGAGUAGUGAUUGAGGAUCCUUUGAAGCUAAACAGAACAUCAGCACUCUCAGGUAUGAAAGCAAAAGGUUUAUUGUUAGUUUUUGAUUCUUAUUGCUUCUCCAUAGUUGCUGUUGAUAUUUUGAAUGCUGUUUAGUUUGUUGGGAUGAAAUCUUGCUUUCACGGUUGCCAUUGCUGAUUUUGGUAUACUCUGCUUCUAUUAUGAAUGUGCCUCAAUGUUGUAUUUAAAACGGAUUUUCUCACCUAAUCAAAGGGUUCAUGGAUGACUCAUGAAGUGAAACCUCUGAGAGUCAUUUUUACUCGUUUUCUUUUGUGUUUUAUACUCCAUCCAUUCUUUUCUCUGUUUCUGGGCCUUGAUCAAUGCAAAAGCUGUGGGAAAGUGGAUCCGGUUUUGGACUGUGUGCUCCUUCAAAGAUCUGACAUGGAGAAAAGGGACUGUGACUGGGGAUGAAAUUCUUUUGUGAGGUUCAAGUGAGGCUAUCAGGCUUCAUGACUGGGAACCUGGGGAGUUUGGUUGAUGGAGUAAGAUGAUUAUAUGCAGAGAAGGUUGAUGACUAUGGAAUCUGAAUCUGAAAGUGUUUGCAUGAGAAUAUACGCCGCGGAGAAAUAUCAUAGAGAGAUGGUGAUCCUUGUGACUAGUUGCUUGAGAAGAAAGAUAGCUGAGAGUCGGAACAGAAAAGAACGUUCACAGGCUGAUUUUUGAAGAUGUUGAGCUCCACUCAAUUAUCCACCAGGUGAGAUCAAUGGUACAGUUAAUAUUGCAAACCUGGUCUGGGGGUUUCCAUUACCUAAGGAUGGUGUCGUGAUGGCUCUCAUAUGCAUGCAGUGCAUGCAUUUUCCCCUCAUAGCACUCUCCUUACCCACUAUACCAUGCGCCUCCACCUAAUUGUUUCCCAUUUUUCACGAGUUAAAAUCUCCAUACCACCCCCCUCAUGUGUAUCAUCACUCAUGCAUACCCAUUUCCUACAUUUUCUCUCUCCUCACCACUCUGCAUACCCGUUUUCUAUCACAUUCCACAUCCAUUCUUUCUCCUGAUGCAUGGCCAUAAGAGUCCACAUUAACACCCAUUACGUCUUUCUCCAGCCACCUAUAUCCUAUUAGACACCAUUCAUACCCGUUUCAUAUGCAUGGCCAUAACCACCACCUCAUUCUCGGCUCAAUUCCUUCUCAUUCACAUGCGAUUGAAGACCUACUGUGCGUGGUCUCUCCUUGGUGAAAUCUCCCAGGCUCUCCCUACAUUUCCCUCAGAUUUCGAGAGCAGAACUGAGCUCAACAUAGCCACUAUCCAGUUCUUAAAAGCGAGGCAUAUCUCCAACAUUCAUGGCAAUCUAAUCGUUGAGAGGUUGCAUCUGAGCUCAACUGAAUUUGGCUAUCCGAGAAAGGAACAUGAACCUUUUGGAGCUUUUGGCUUUGCAAUUUCUUAGUUUUGCUGUUGAGAGCCUUACAGAAGUGUACUUCUCUAAUGAAUGCGACUUGAAUAUGACUAUUGAGAUGCUUACUCAGCUCGGCUUAUUGUGUGGGAUGUUGUCUCUCUCUGCUUAGAUAUUUGUUAUUUCUCUGAUUGUGACGUUUAUUAUAUGGGUAUGCUAGUUGGUGAUGAUAUUGGAUCGAGAUAAAAUUGGUUUGUCUGUAAUAAUGGCUGGCAUUGCUUUUUUUUUGUUGGCAUUCUAUUCAAUCAUGCUUUGGUGGAGAACACAAUGGCAAAGCUCAAAAGUUGUAGCUGUUCUUCUUCUUGUGGCAGUUGCCCUGCUCUGUGCAUGCGAACUUUGUGCUGUUUGUGUUACAGCAGAAUGGUCUUUGAUGGAAAAGGUCUCAAAGGGAAAUAAGGAUCCAUAAGUGGACUUCAACGAAAAGCUUGAUGAAUUUGCAGAAAUUGAAAAGUGCAUUGGGGCUCCCAUCCUGUUGGAAAUGAGGUGUUAUAAAUUCUGAGGUCUGGGACCUCUGGAAGUUUAAUUUCCUCUGAACUGUGCCUUCGUUAGAUCAAACAGUAAUAACCUUUAAUUCUCAUGGAAUAGAGAUGACAGAGAAGUGGUUGGAGAUGCGGCUGAUUUUGGGAAUUGUCACAAUAAUAAGAGCAGAGAUACAGAGGGACGAGAGAGGAAUGGUAUCUCACCAGCUGCAAAGGAUAGCUUGAGCCCUACAAUGGACAGCAGAGUAGCAAAUAACCCCCCUUGCUGUCACUUCACCAACUGCUGGAUCUGCUUCUUUGAGGAGUCCAAGGAAUAAUCCAACCCUUAAUACUGCGAGCAAGCACCCAUUUUCUAUGCCCAGACAUCAACCCAAUGGCGCUGACCCCAAAGCUUUCUGUCAGUCCACUCUUACCCCUUCAAAUACCGAUUAAGCCCACUACUCAUCAUAACCCCAUAUCCAUCUAAUCACCACCCUAUUCUCCAAUGCCUAUCUCCCUCAUUGUUUUCCUCACCACCCCACCUUCAUUAUCUCACACCCAUACAUAGCAUCAAAUCAUCCAAUACCCAUCCUUUCCACCGUGGCCGCAUGUGUUCUCUCUGUUAAAAAAUAUUUCCACUUCCUGUUUCGAGAAAGCCUCCACAAUCAUUUCUUGCAAACAUGGAAGAUUAUAUAAGAGAAGCAUCAAGGAUGGUUUCUGUUCCGAAUGAGCCAUUGCUGCAGUUGACACACAAAUCAGAAGAUGCUCCUCCUUCUGAAGACUCAAGAUUACUUAGUGAUGAUGACCCAAGCUAAAGCCUCCAGAAAAUGUUGAAGUCUCCAGUGUUGAGGUUGCUCAUCCUUCUCCUCAUCUCCCGUCAAACAACUUGGAUGAUGGAGAUUCUACUGGGAAUAAAUGUUGUUGCUCAUGAUGCAUCUGCAGAAGAGGAAAGCAUGCUAGCAAUCUUGAAGGAGAAGAGGAAGGAAUUAUUGGUGCUGCGGGGACUGCUUGUUUUGGAGGUAAUUCUGUAGAGUGCUGUCAAUGGCGAUCUACACUGCGCUGUUAGUGGCUUUCUCAUCACUAUUUCUGUAACAGCUGGAGUACAAAAGACAUGGAGAUGUUUGAUGCGCCUAAAGCUUGAUUGGCCACAUGUGAUGGGAUUUAGAGAAGGUAUUUUGUGCUGACAUACUGAACUUUUUGACGAAGCUGUACGUGAAGGAAUAGCAUUAUCGAUCCCAUUCAGUUACAAAGACGUCGAAUUCCUUGAAACCAUCAAGUUUGGUGACAUCCUCGUGGUUUCGUUCCAUAUUGUGGGUAAUGCAAUGUCAGUUAGGGUGAAAGUGGCAGUGGCGGAGAUAAGAUCUUUUAGCUAAGGGUUCAUGCAGAGGCCACGCAAGGGUAGUCCAUGUAGAUGUGGCAAGUGAAAUUAACGGAAGAGUUGAAUCUGACCCAUUGGCAAGGUUUGCAUGGAAGGAGUCACAAGAUAAACUUUGAAAAUGCCAAGAUGGUUGAAGAACUCAUCAGUCUGGACCGGUGCAAGGGCUUGACUUUUCCUGAGAUACUAGAUAUGAUCAAUGAGCCCAAAGAACCCUCAGACCCGCCGGGUAGGCAUCUCCUUGCAUGAGUGCAUUUGCUGUUGGUCAGUCUGCAGCAUUCAAGAUGUUUGAGACGAUACAUAGGAAGCCGGAGAUAGAUGUUUGUGACACCAAAGGGAAGAUAUUGGAGGACAUUCAAGAAAAGAUAUAGCUCAGAUACAGAUACAUGGAGAUUCAGUUCAAGGGUGGCACGGAUGGUUUAUGUCAAGUUUGGGAGAAACUAUAUCGCGGUCAUCUCCAACCUCCAGGGCAAGCAUAGCGUGGAGCUUAUAUAGACUUUUCUGGGCAUUUUCAGCAAGUUCAAAGGCGCUGUUAUAAAGAAUGAACGCUGCCGACGACACGACCAGAUUGGACACUUUUCAUAGCGACAAAAUUGGAGUUCUCAUGCUGAAUCAUCCCACUGAUUGAUUGAAAUCUUGUUGAGACUUUUUAGCCAAAGAUGGGGACAAAGACAGUCAUCUUGCUUACGGUCAGAAUAUCAAAGUUGGAAAAUUGAAGCGCCCGUUGAUAUAGUCACCCUUAACACGCUCGUUGAUCCAAAAGAUGAUGAAACAGCUUCAUAAAAGCAUGAUCAGAUUCUGGCCAGCACGUAAGGACACGUAUAGGAAAUUGAUUUCUGAUGGAGGGGUCAUCUCAAGCAUCUUGGUAAUGUAUUUGCUGCACCACAUGUCCUGCUGAAGAGAUGCUUCAGUCAAAUGGUCAGAAUUCCAUCAUCAUCGCUGGGGAUAUCAAUAUGUCUCUUUAGGCUUGAGACUCUUUUUGAUGAGGAUGCACAGAUUGUAAAGAAUGCGGGAAUUACUAGCUUUGCUUCAAUGAGGAAUGUCUGCUCUCCUCAGCAUUCGAGUAAUAAAGAUUUGAAGGACUCCACAGGGAUAUCUUUUAGAAGAUGUAUGCAGCCUGUAGAGAAGUGUUCAAGGGAUGUUUGGGAUUUAUUUCGAUCAGUUGGUAGUGCAGUACAUGGAUGGCCAGCCCAUAUAGCAAGAUCAUGUGAUUCAUUUGAAGAUGAGUUGUUGACAGAGCAGAUGUAGUGGCACUCCAGAUUGCAUUCUUACUUGGUUUUCUCUCAUCACCUUUUCAUUUGUAUGUCAAUGCGUGGCUACCUUUGAGGAAUGUGCUAUCUCCCAUUCCCCUCUUUGAAUUUUUAAGAUAAUUGCCCCAAAUCCUAUUUUGUAAAUAUUCUCUUAAAUUCAGCUUUUCAAAUAAUCCCAACUCCUCCUAUUUUCUAAUAAAAUUUGGCUACCUUUUUCUUUCUGGCAAGCCAUUUUUAAAUUUUCUUUGUUUUUUAAAGUGUUUUAAAAUAAGCAUGGAUUUAAUUCCAUAAUUUCGAAUAAUGGAAUUUAUGGGAUUAAUUCAUGCAAAAAUAAACGGGCUUUGGUGGGGGCCCAACAUCAAAUAAAUUUUCGUCAAAAUAAGAGUGAAUUUGAAUGAAAGGCUAUGUGGGCUAUUGAUGCUUUCUUUAUCUAAUUUGGUGAUAUGAGUGACAUGCUUUAUGUUCAUUACUAUGCACUAAUCCCCUUUUGUGAUAGCGCGUUGCCGUUUGCUGAUCAGGUACGCAUCUACUUCCACUUUGGUUAUUCUUUAUGCAUAUUCUGAUACUCAUAUGUGCAUGAUUGAUUCAAGUAUUCAUUGAUUUUCUUAUUGAUUGCCAUGUCAACUUCAUCUCAUUAGUAGAGACCCGACUUUAGGGACUUAGAGGGGUGCUACGGUCUUUACCGUACCUUCCCGAUAAGUAACCUGACCCCCGAACUCGAUCCGGUUUUUCACAGACCACCUUUUCCAAAAUAAGGAGUCACACUUAGGGUUUUCUUUCUUAUUUUGUUUACCCUUUAAAAAUAAAACAAAAAUAAGUGGCGACUCCAAGUCAUUUUUCUUAAUUAAUAAAAAUCAAUUUUUUGAAAUAAAAAAUCGAGCUCGCCAUCGAGUGGGAAACGCAUUGAGCCGAAAAUGCGAGGUCCACAAUGGGGUAUUUGUUAAGUUUUAGUUUUAGUAGGAGAUUUAAAUAAUAGUAAUAAUAGUUUAAUGCAAAUAAAUAUUCUUAAAAGAUUUAAUUUAGAUAAGUUAGAAAAACAAAAAUUAUUGUUUAGGAAGUUGAAAAUAAUAUUGGAUGGUAAUAAUAUUAAUAUGAGAAAUUAAUUAGGAUCCCUAAUACUAAAUAAAAUAUUUUUUUAAGAUUGUCAGAUUUAUAUAUUUAGAUAAAUAUGUGUUUUGUAUGGAAAAUAUUUUUGAGAAUUUUAUUUGUUUAUUUAUGAAAAGUGAAAAAUUGAGGAGAUAUGAUAUUUUGUUUUACAAGUUUAAAUUAAUAAAAUAAAGCAUUUGACUUUGGUUUCUAUGAUUCUAGUUAACGGGAUAUAAUUGUUAACAUUUUCGACCUUAAUCAACGUAUUAUAAUAGUUGAUAAUAUAUGGGUCUAAUCAACGGGUUAUAAUAGUUGACCUUAUAGUCAUAGUCAACGAGUUAUAAUAGUUGAUCUUAUGACUUUAGUCAAAGGGUUAUAAUUGUUGACAUUUGGUUUUGUUCACCUUAACUAGAACAAAUUUGAAACUAAUCAUUCAUUUGUGAAGUCUCACCUAAUUGAACAUCAUUUGUCAUACGAUAACCAGAGUAAAGGUUUUUUUUUAAUGUAUUUGAUUUGGUUUUGAUGAGAAAUUGUUUUGAAUUGGAUAUAAGAAAGUUUUGUUGAAAAGUUUUGAAUAUAUUAACAUGUUUAACUCAAAAGUUUUUAUGAAAAUGAAUAUAUGAUAUAUCUCCUAUUUGUAAUCAUAAUUAAAAAUGUUUGAUCCAUGAAACUGUAUUGAUGUUUUUUAUUGAGCUUUAAGCUCAUGCCCCUUCGUUGAUAAUCUUUCAGGUAUUCUCAGUUUGGGCAAGGAGUGAUGGUUAGGUUAUGGAAUUUUUCUUUGUAUGAUUUUGGUUCAAACUUUAUUUUGGACAUUGUUUAAGUGUUAAAAUUUAAUUCCCGUUUAAAUUAUUUGAAUUUGGAGUUAUUUGGACAAUAACACUCUGAUUGAUGUGUUAGUUUUUAAAGUUGAGAAUUGAGGGUCAUAUAAUUUAUUUAUUUUACUACUCUGAAUAGGAAAUUGAUAAUUGGUAAAUUCAAGUUAUAAGAUGAAUGUUGUGUUAUUUUUAUUUUGAACCUUUAGGUUUGAGGUGUGAAAUGACCGGUAUGCUUUUAAAGUGAGUUUUGGGGGGGUGACAAAAGUGGCCGGUGGAAUGUGAUUAGUUGACUUAAAUAUGAAUAGUACGAGAUACCAAAUAAAAAAUUAAACCAUUUAUUGAGCCAAUUAGCUCUAAUGUUCUACAGUGGUAAUAACAUCAACUACUAGUAAACAACCACAGAUACACAGCCGUCUGUUUCCAUUAGCAACUUCCAAACGGGUCUUCCAUUGCCUUUGGAAGUCGAUACAAGAAGCUAAAUGUAAAAGAGGGUUGAAUCCCCCAAAAUCCCAGGAUUAAAUUAAUACGAAUAUUAGUGGUAGAUAAAUGUAGACAAUGGAAGAGGGACAAGCCUUAGAAAAUGUGGACAAGGGGGUGAAGAAUCCAAAGAUCCAUGACAGAUGCCGGUCUUUCUCCAUAAAUUGUCCCCAAAUACCACUGUAGUCUUAUGAUUGAGUUUGAAAGGGAGAGUCCAUGGCUCAGAGGACCGUCUUGAAGGUUGAUAUUUGGUGCCCAAAAUGCCAGAAGAAGCUCCUCCAAGCAGUCUCUGGAUUAGAAGGUGAGAUCAAAUCCCAUCCUUCCCUUUCUUAACUUUUAAAAUACUUGAAUAAAUGCUAAUCAAGAAAACUUUUAUUUAUUUAUUUUUCCCAUAUUAGAAGGUUAUAGAGAUGCUUCAAACCCAUUUCUUUUUUUUUCUUUUCUUUUUUUGUGGGGGUGGGGGAGGGGAAUUGCAGGUGUGAAUACAAUUGACAUUGACGCAACCAAAGGUUUAUUGACAGUAACCGGUGAGGCAGACCCUUAUGAAAUUAUAGUUCGUGCUAGGAAGGCUUGCAAACACGCUGAAGUGGUGACUAUUGGCCCUCCACCUGGUCCCUCAAAGAAGCCCGAAAAAGAGAAGCCCGAACAAAACAAGCCCGGAAAAGAGAAGACCGAACAGAAGAAGCCCCAAAAAGAGAAGCCCGAUACCAAGGUCCACUCGUCUGACAACUGCCCUAUGUGUCAGCGUUUUGCUGUCAUCCAUUUGGACCGGUGGGACGAGCCCAAUGUUAUAUGCUCUAUCCUGUAACUCCACCCCAUGCCCAUUCAUGAGCAUUUCAUUUUGCAAUAUGGAAAUUUUGUGUGAAAUUUAAUGAUUGAAGUAUAACUCCGUGUUGUACAAAAUAUGUUAGAAUUUGGGUUACUAGUCCAGCACAUCCAAAUUUCUGGCUGAAUCCACAUUAACAUUUUUUAACUGGGCUCAAUGGUAUCAAAUUUGUUAUUUGCUCCCAUUGAGAAAAAAAUAAAUCUCCUUCGUGUCAUAGAUAGACCCCUCGAAUAAAAGUGGUCCAUCGUGCCUAGGGACAUUUUAAAAUUGAAGGGUUUUUUUUUUUUUUGGCCAAUGUUUGUAAUAAAAACAAACUUUUCCCAAAAUCGAUUCCAUUUAUUGUGUCAUUCCAAUCCAGUAGGCCCAUCCGGAUUAAUCAAACCCAACCAAACCACAGUGUUGGGCCGUGGCAAGGGCUGAGUUGGCGGGCCCAAAAUAGAAAAAGUGACUCAAGAGUCAGAGAUGAUGAUGCCAGCACGGCUCAUGACUCCUGUCAAGUACCAACGACCCAUAGAUAAAAGGUUUAUGUACUGGCCUCUACGGAUCUAAUUUGAACAAUAUCUCCAACACUUCUUCUACUACCAAGUUCUUCCUCAUUUCUUUAUCUUAUUUGUUUUUAGGGUUAUUUGAUUAAAAUGGUUUCUCAAAACCCAAAUUUUGAAAUUUAAUCUCCCACUGUUUUAUUUUUUUCAUAUCAUUUAAACAAAAAUGUCUUCAUUAUAUUUUUGUAAAAAUAACUAUUUCUUUUAAAACAUACACGUAAAUAUUUAAAAUAAAAUAAAAAGCAUUUAUGUAAAAAAUGAGUUAUCUUUAAAAAACAAAACAUGAGAUGAGUUACAUUUUUUAUUUAGGGAUUAUUUCAUCAUUUUUAAUAAAAAAAUUUCUUAUUUUUAAUUCAAGCUGAUAUCCAAAGAUACUCCCAAAAUGAUUUUUAACAAGCAUGAAAAUCUAAUGGCCAGCACCAUUUGAACGGACCGGUUCAGGUUUAUUAUUUUCAGCAUUUUUUUAGUAAGAGCGUGUGGCAUACUUACCUUAACUCUUAAAAGAAAAUAGGUUGAAAAUAUUUUUAGACCUUUCUGUUUUCUCUUUAGAAAAAUUGUUCCAAAUUUCUUGUAUUUUUAGAAUACUUAUAUCAAAUUUAAGAAGCUAAGAGUAAAAAACAAAAACAAAAAGCCAACAUAUACUUCUGAAAAAUACAAAAAAAAAAGUCUAAUUAUUAAAAACACUUGUGUUUGAUGAACUUCUAGUUUUGAGAAGAAACUUCAGAAAAGAUGGCAAAAAUGGGAGUUGAUUUGGGAAAGACAUCAUUUAAUGCCCCACUUGGUUAAAAGGUCAAAAGGGUCUCUAUAAAUGGGAAACGGGGUGUUCUUGUUAAGCUGUUGGGAAACGGGGUGUUCUUGCUAAGCUGUGGUGUCCUUUCCUACCUGCCUCUAUGGCCGCACUGAUUCUUUUGUCCAUCAAUUUUCACCUAUUGUUUAUAAUCUCGCCAUGGAAGAACGGUAUGGGAAACCAACCACGCUGGGUUCUACUCAGGCUCCAUUUCAGCAAUAAUAAAAAGUAAUAAUUUUUACCAACGUAAAAUAAACACCAAAAGAGGAUAAAUUGGAUAUUUAUCAUUUUUUGCAGAUUAUAAUAGAAAUUAAUUAUGAUGGGUAUAAGAGACAAACAACCAAUGAUAUGAUAAAAUUAUAAAUAGGAAUUGCAUAUAAAUAAAGAAAGAGAACAAGAAAUGGAGAAAUGCAAACUCAAAACUUGUAAUAGUGGGGCUCAAUCCCGACCUACAUCCACUCUUCUUGCUUUAAUCCCAAGCUCUCCUCUAAUUUAAAUCCCAAGCUCUCCUUUAGCUUCAAUCCUAAUGCAUUAUAUUAAGGCUUACAAAUCAAGCCCUCAAAGAGAACAAGAAAGGGAGAAAUGCAAACUCAAGAUUUGUAAUGGUGGGGCUCAAUCCCGACCUACAUCCACUCUUCUUUAAUUUCAAUCACAAGCUCUCCUUUAACUUCAAUCCUAAUGCAUUAUAUUAAGGCUUACAAAUCAAGCCCUAAAGCUUUACACUUGAUUAAUCGACUCCAACAAACACCUGUAAUUUUCUUCAAAAAAAAUUUCACUCUUAAACUCCUCAAGUGAUACCUACACUUGAAUUCACCUCACGAGAUUUACAAAAAAAUGAAUUUCUUAUUACAAAUUCCUAAUUUAUAAUUUUUUGCUAAGGAUACAAAGAAAACUAGAAUUGAUUAGGUAUACUAAUAAUGAAAUGUUAGUUAAGUUUAAUGCACUCAAAAUAUUUUCCUAAGGCUCAAGAGAUGAUUGAAUAGCAAUUUGAAACUCUUCUCUUAUUUAUAAAAAGAAGUAUUGAGUCUGUAUAUAGAAGUUAAAAGGUCAAAUUAGCCGUUUCUUAUAAUCAAACAUUUGUGUGGUCAUCCACAUACUAACCAUUGAAGCAUUUAAUGAGGUGUAGAGAGUCAAUAAAGAUCAAAAAGCAUAUGUGAAUUUCCAAGUGGUCAUCUAUAUUGCCAAGCAGUUGUCUUAGUGGACUUCCACAUGGCUUCUAGUAGCCAAAAAUCACUUCUUGAGGUAAGUAGUUGUCCAGGUGGAUGCCUAUUUUUCUCCUAUUAGUCAUUUUGUCCCAAAACAAAGCACAUGAAUGACCGCCUGGACAUCCACAUGACAAUUGGAUGACCAUUGGUCAUCCACACGUGCUCUAGCACAAUAUUUUUUAAAGUUCAUACGUGUUUUGGGGUUAGACCUUUUUUACUGAACUCAUAUGACUGUAGACCACUUUCUAACAUAGUUUUAAUUGAUAUUUUAAGAAUUUUUCAAGUCAAAAGAAUUUCAAGCAUUUUUUACCUAACUCAUGAAUGUAUACCACUUUCUAACAUAGUCUUAAUUGAUAUUUUAAGAAUUUUUCAAGUCUAAAGAAUUUCGGUUAAGUCGAUGAUGUUUUUAAGAACCUUAAAAAAAUUUCAUGAAAAGUUUGAGGUCCAAGUUAGUCUCCUAGGCUUGGUAGGUCUUUUCAUCCACAAAAAGAUUUCAUCCAAAUUAUACAAGUAUAAAACCUUAUAAACCUAUGGAUGAAUGUUUUGGUGCUUAACAAAAAUAUGCAAUCCUAACAUAGUACACCCAUCAUCUUACAUCAAGUAUCCUAAUGAUAAACUUGAGAAACCUUUUCUUCAUUCUCCCUAAAGUUCUCUUUUGCUCCAUUUAUCUUCUUCUUGACGUUUCAAGGAGAUCUCCUUGCCUAUCAAACUUAAAUAUAACUAUUGAUCAAAACCUUGUUUUGUUAUUAUAAAAAUAUGAGAUUAACCAAAACUUGGUCUAACAUUUUCUAUAUUUUCUUGGCAAUGUGGUUUGAGUCUGUAUAUAAGAUUUUUAGUUUUUGGAUUCUCUAUAGCUUGUGAUUUUUAAAGGUAUAUGACAUGUCUAUGGAAAUGACAGGUACAAGUGACAGUUGUUGAUGUAUCUACCCACCAAAACGAGAUUGACAGUGUGGGGGAUUUUAUAUUUGUACCCAGAAAGGAUAUCCUCUCUUGCUAUUUUGGGUCUAUGGAACAAACACCUGGCCCACUGCCAGAGGACAGAGGCAAAGCUGUUGGCAUAAUGAGUAAAGCACUUGAACAUUACCUUAAGAAAGCUCAGGAGGAUCAUGUUCUUGCUGGAGCAAUUGGUAUUGGAGGAAGUGGAGGCACAUCUAUUAUAUCAUCUGCUUUUAAAUCUGUUCCCAUUGGAAUGCCUAAGAUUAUUGUAUCAACUGUAGCUAGUGGUCAAACUGAACCUUAUGUUGGCACCUCAGAUUUAAUAUUAUUUCCAUCAGUAGUGGAUGUAUGUGGGAUUAACAAUGUAAGUAGGGUUGUUUUAUCAAAUGCUGGUGCUGCUUUUGCUGGAAUGGUGAUUGGAAGGCUCCAGGCGUCCAGAGAUUCUUUAAGUAGUAAUGAAAAGUUCACUGUUGGCGUAACCAUGUUUGGAGUUACAACUCCAUGUGUAAAUGCUGUCAAAGAAAGAUUGGUUAAAGAAGGAUAUGAGACUCUGGUUUUCCAUGCCACUGGAACAGGUGGAAGGGCUAUGGAGGAUCUUGUCAGAGGGGGAUUUAUACAGGUACACUUGCCAAGUUAGCACUACUGUGCAUUGAAAAAGUUUCUAGCAUGAUCAUAAUACACAUUUUGUUAAAUGUAAUUGACCUUUCAAUCUUUGGCAGUUGACCAGAAAACAUGACUUUGAAGAAGUAUCAGGCCGUUGCAUUACACUUUUAAUGCUUCUUCCUAUACAUGUUUCUAAACUGGACUAUUAAUUGAAAGAUUAUUGGACCAAAUUUACUUUGAUGCGUCUAAUUUCAAGCUUAAAGUUGUUGAAGUAAAACUGAAGCCAAUAAAAGGAGAUGGUGUUUUUUGAUUGUUGAAAUUUUAGAGCUCAAGGGGUUGGCUUAACCCUUGAUCAGGCUUGCUUGAACUGGAACCAAGAACGUGUCUUAGUACCAUUGAAUGGAGCUUUGUUUGAGAUAAGGAGGUAGAUGAAAUGUCAAUGAUCUGAACAUGAAAUGCUUGUUAUUUUCCCUUUUUGUGUGUGUACUUUAUCAAAUUAAUGUAAGCACUCAGAGUUCAUCAUUAAUUAUCUGGUUUAUAUUUUUACAUUCUCGCUUCUUAUCUAUAAAAUACUCCUCAAGAUUUGGCUUUAGAUCAUCGAUUUAACUGCCUCUAAGUUGGUACUAACCGGUGUCAAUUAAAUCCAUUUUUGUGUCCUUUUAUUCAGGGUGUUUUGGACAUCACAACAACAUCUUCAAAUUGAUAAAUAGUAGUUUUUUCAUUCAUACUUUCAUUCGUUCAUGUACAAAGUAUAUAUAGAGGGUAAUCACCAUUCUAAGAAUGGGAAAGAAUGAUACAAGGAAAGAAUGAUAUAAGGAAAUAACAACUAAUAUCCUAAUAUCUCAACUUUCCUAAUAUCUCAACAUUCCUAAUAUCUCAAUAUUCAUAAUAUCUCAACUUUCCUAAUAUCUAAACAUUCCUAAUAUCUCAACAUUAAAUGAUAUAAGGAAAGAAUGAUAUAAGGAAAACAUUCUUAAUAUCUCAACACAACAGAGGUUGCAGAUUAUGUAGUUGGAGGUGUCAUGGCUUGUGACAGUCCCGCUUUGACGCCAUGAUAGAGAAGAAGAUCCCUUUAGUUAUGAGUGUGGGAGCAUUGGAUAUGGUGAAUUUUGGAGCCAAGACUACCAUACCUUCUCAUUUACUGAAAAGAAAUACCCAUGUACAUAAUGAGCAGGUAUUGGGGUCUCUUCAUGGUUUUUCUCAUCUUUAACUCUAUUCCAGCUAGGUUAAUUCAUUAAACAUAUGCACCCUAAUUUUAGCAUGAUAUAAUCCCUGUGUAUAUUUUGUUCUUGCCAUGCCUCUGGUCUCAGGACUUUAAAUUUGAUAGUGUCAUAGUUAGUCUUUUAUGGAGAUGAUAAGUUUACUUUCAUUAAUCAUGCCAUGGUACUGACCGAAGAGAUGCCCCUUGCAUGGAUUUCUCAUUGCUUAUUGUUUGCAGGUAUCUCUUGUUCGAACUACGGUAGAUGAAAACAAGAAAUUUGCUGGCUUUAUAGCAAACAAACUGAACAAAGCAUCAUAAAAGGUUUGUGUUUGCCUUCCACAGAAAGGUAUCUCUGCUUUGGAUGCACCAGGGAAGCCCUUUUAUGAUCCUGAGGCUACUGUUACUCUAAUAAAUGAACUACGUACAGAAGCUUAUUCAGACAAAUGAAGAUCGACAGGUACCAUUAUUACAUAUCAGAUGGUUUCUAUUUCAAUUGAGGAUAGUGUUGUUCGUGUGCAAGCUAUUGCAGAUGCUGCACAUAGUAUUAAUCCUGAGGUUAUUGUGCUCUGCCAUGGAGGUAAUCUGAAAGACCUGUUCUUUGUUAGAAAGUCUAGUUAUCCAGUUUUUCUGAAUAUAGUAGUGAUUUGCUGUAUGAAAUGUUUAAAAUAUAAUAUGGAUCUUUUCUGAUGGAUCAGGUGAACAAUGGUAUGAAUAAUCCUAUAGUUUGAAUCAUAGAAAGGUGAUAUUGCACCAUUUACUGAGGUUUGGGUCCCAUGGAUAAUCCUAAGGGUUUGGCCAUGGAAGGUUCCUCAAUUAUCAGAAGAAAAAAAAAAGAAAAAAAAAACACACACACACACAUCAGCUGCAGACCACAUUCACUUCAAAAGCUCAUUUUCUUUUAUGCAGGAGUGUAAUUCCAUCCACCAGCAAGAAAACAUGACCCAUAGCAGGUUCUAUUCCUGUGGUUUUGCAAUGGGUAGACUUGUAAUGGGCUUGACCCUCGGAAAUUUAGUAUAAGUAGAUGCACAUAGACUCAAUUGACCAAUAAGAAAUCCCUGAGUGUUGUGGAGUUUGUGCUGCUACUUCUAAUUGAUGGUCUGGGUUUUGACCAGUUAGCUAUUACUAUCCAAUAAACUUGAAGUUCUAAAUUGAAAAAGGUUUUUGACAUGCAUAUUUAUGGUGAUAUCAUGAGUGUUUUUCAUUUUUUUUCAAUCUUUAAAUCAAUUUCAGUACCUAUUUCAAGUGUAUUUAUCCCAGAAUUAUUCUAGUCCCGUUAAAGUGUAUUUGUCUUAGGCAGGUUCAGUCGGUCAAUUUUGGGGUCUGGUUUAUUUCUUAUGGUUUUUCAGACUGUUCUAACAAUAUUGGUUGUUUCAGAUGAGGGUUUACUGGUUAUCUAUUAUGCUUAAGGUUAAUCCCCUAGAUGACCUGACAGCUGACCCAUUGAGAGCUCUGUGCUAGGAAUACAUGCAUAAGUUAUUUGUAUAGUGCUAGAUAUUGGAACAAGUGCCCUAGGGAAAUCUCCUUGGUAAUCAGUAUUGGAGGCUGGAGGCAUGCCCCAGGGGAGCAAGUGCCCCCCCUGAAAUUUUUGCCCGAAGGGAGAUUUGAUCCAUCUCUCGAGGAUGACAUAUGAAUUCCAUAAGUUAUAACUAGGCUACACAACAAUUUGUUUCUUUUCUGAACCUCCUGGAAUCAAUACCUAGAUUUUGCACCUCCUUACCUCAGCUAAUAUCCUAGCUCUAUUAAUUCUUUUUCAGAAAUGUUGGGUACUGGCUCUUGGAUAUUGUUGAUACCUUGUCAACUGAGGAUGGAUUCCUCCCUUAAACGUGACAAAGAAAGCUCUCACUCCGGUAUCGGAAUCUGGGUCUUAUGCUUCCCUGCACAAAGAUGUCCGGAUGGGUGUCCAAACAUAUCCUCCGAAGCUCAAGUUAGACGUUAGAAAGAAUGAAAACCUUUAGAGAGAGAGAGAGAGAGUGGAUGAGAGAACUCACAGUGUCCUUCCUGUUAUAUUUCAGUAAGGUUUUUAUAAUAUUCAAAUGUGGAGUCAGGCUCCGUAGUACUGAGCUGGCCCUUGUAGUGAUGAUUGUGCAGUAGUGAUAGGGCAAUCACCACAUUUGCAGGCAACUGGGGGCUAUGUCAGACGGCGCGUCUUGACACAACUUGUCGUCCCUUCAACCUUAAUGAUGACCUGAGACUGAUCAUACUAAAGCAGACGUGAGGAUGGGAAGAGUCCCAUCAAUCAAUCUGGUGUUAGCUAGCCAUGGUCUCGUAUAUCAGAGAAGAUUUGAGGCUAUCAAAGAGAUGUGGGUCGCUCAGAAGCGCAAAUGGUCUGGACAGGAAGUUUCCAGAUGCCUCGAAUGUUGUCCGAGCAGUGAUGAAAGAAGUGACAUGUGGCUUAGCUAGGACGAUGCCACAUAGAUAGACGCAUGGAAGUAUUCGUGGGUGUACACAUGGGAUAAGGCCCCCACAGAUAUAUCAAACCUUCCAAUGCUACGUUUCUAGCCAAAACCCUGAUCUUCAAUCUCCAGGGAUGCACAGGCUAUCCAAUUAAAAAUAAAAAUUUGGGAUAGAGAAUCAAACUAUUCUUAUCCAGCAACAUUCAGAAAGAUUUUGAAGAUUGCUCCUAAUUACCUAUAUUAUAUCUAACCAUAUUAGUUUGAAACUUUCAUAACCGUAAAUUAUAAUACUUCAUAAGUCAUUUGUUCGGUGUAACUUGCAAGUCUUAUUUUUGGUCCCGAAGAGGCAGGAUUCGUAUUAAAGAGGACCAAGGGAGUUCAUGGAUUCUAUGGCGCAUCAAGAAUGGAGAGGUUACCGGUUGACCAAGCUAUAACAAGCACAGUCCAACAAUACAAAUCAAUUUGCAUCAAGUGAAAGUGCUUUUUAAUUGCCUCAUCAACCCAGAUUCAAUAUCUUUCUUAUCCCUGAAUACUUUCUAUCCCAUAUACGCAGGUGAGAACAGAGGAAUGGAUCAGAUUUGUCCAACUAGUAGCUAGUCUAGUGUGAUAACUUUCGAAAUGGAACGUCUGAUGUUGGUAAGGAAUAAGUUUCAUGGAGCAAAUAAAUAUCGGCAAAAAAUGUGGCCAUUUUCUUACGGAAAAUAAUGCAAAUUUAUUCAUGAAAUGGUUCUUUUAAGAAAAUUGGCCUGGGCCUGGAAUUCUAAUCCUCUUCAUGUUAUGUGGUUUCUUUGCAGUAUAGCUUAACACGUCAUGACCAUAGUCAGACCAGGGACUCUUGGCAUCAUGAACAUACUUCUACCUGGUUUUUUUUUCUUUAAAACAAACACAACUUGAAAAUUGGUUUAAGAGGAAAACUUUUCCUCAUCGCAACUCCCUGCUUAUCAUAGAAAGAUAACAAAUCACAUAACUCGACUCUAAUGAAUCAUGCGCAUAUCUCUCGUAAGCCCUUCAUGAGUUUCAAGCAUAUGCUUCGAAGCCUGUCUGUUUAUAAGAUAUGUAUACUUAGGAUAUCAUAUCCCAUUAGAUAGGAUAUGAUUUCCAAUGGAAUAUGGUAUCCUUUGAUAUACAUAUUGACAUGAUAUUUUAAAAUAGCAUAUCCAAUAAUACAUUGUUUAAAAUAAAAAUUAUAUCACAUUCAAAUAUUUUCUAUUUAAAAAAUGAAAAUUUUGUUAUGUUUAAUAAUAUUCAUUAUUAAAAUAUUUAAAAUUUACAAAUAAUUUUUUUAUAUUAUGUUAUUUAAUAUAUAAAAAUAAUUAUAUAUCAUAUAUUAAUAUUAUUUUAUAAAUAUUUUUUUAGUUUCUUUUUUUAAUCAUUAAUUUAAUUUAUAAUAAAAAACUAUUUUGUAAAAUGAGUAUAUUAAAAAAAAAUUGAUAAAAAAAAUGAAAUUUUAAUACAUGGAUAUGUAUAUUUCAUAUCUUACCAUGGUAUUAACACAUCUCAUUUUAAAAGAGAUGAAAAAAGGUGAAAAUAUAUCCUAUCACUUAUUCUGUCUUAUAUUUGGUUGAACAUAAGAUAGAAUAAGUGAUAUGAUAACUUAUCUUAUCCCAUCACUAGUCAAAUAUAAGAUAAAAUAUAAUAUUUUUUCUCUUAUCAUAUCAUAUAUUAUAUUCGAUCAAUCAAAUAUGGUCUAAUAAUUUUUUUUGAAGAAGAAAAUUACCAAAUCAUUAGAGACUGCAAUUCCUAUUACAAAGAACUUCUUCGAAUAUUUAUCUAGAUUAUAAUUUUAUUUGUAUCUAACAAUUGAUAAUUCAAAAAGGAAAGUUAUUAUACUGAUACCACAAGGUAGAUAGAACUUGUGACAUCCACCGGAACAAACUAUACAUAAUACAACAAGCCAUAUGACAUGCUAUUCACCAAUUACAAGUGUCUCAUUUGAAUUACGUUGAUAUCAUAAAUAUAUAAUUUAUAUAUUAUAUAAAAUUAAAAAUAAUUAUAAGAAAUUUAAAAUAUAAUAAUUAAUUUUUUUAUGAUAUUUUAUUUUUAUAUUCAAUAUAUCAAAUUAAAUAAUAAAAAUAUUAAUAUUAAUGUUUUAAAUUUUAUUGAAUAUAACAUAUAUAAUAUUUAAGUACUAAGAUCUAUUUAAAAUGAAUAUAUAUAUAUAUAUAUAUAUAUAUAUAUAUAUAUAUAUAUAUAUAUAUAUAUCAUUAUAUAAUCAUUUUAUAUACUAAGCACGUACUAGAGAGAAUAAGAUAAGAGAACUUCCAACUUUUUCCUUUUAAAAGAACGUUAAAUUGAUGUUUCAUAUGAAUCAAAUCUGCUCAAAUAACUACACACACGAAAAAAAAAAUCAAAAAUAAAAUGGGUUUAUUUAUUUCCUUUGCGUACACGAAACUAAAAACAAUUGGCAAACAAUGAAAACAAUACUAAUAACGUGGGCAUGAAACAUGAUGGUGAAAGUAGGACAAGGUGAUGCUAGGUACAUGCAUGAGUUGGCCGCUUAUAACAAAUUGGGAUUAGAUAUUAUCCACAAAAUACUGGAGGUAUCAAUGGAGCAUGAAAUGACGUUUCUUCCAUGUAUCACACAACCUUAUUUGUUUUUUUCCGACCUUCUCACAUUCGGAGUGUUUACUGAAUCGAAAAAAUUAUUGAUUCGCAAUUCAUUAAUUCAAUAAAAUGAUAUCACAAAUAUAUUUUAUUAAAAUUAAAAAUAAUUUUAAAAAAUUAAUAUAUAUAAUAAUUUUUUUUAAUAAUAUUCUUUUUUUCAUGUUGGAUAUAUCAAUUAAGUGAUGAACAUAAAUAUAAGCAUAUUAAUAUAUCAAAUUUUAGUAAAUAGAAUAGGUACACUAUUUAAAUAUAAAAAAAUUAUAAUAUUUAAUUUUAUUUAUAUAUCUACAUAUUUUAUUAUUUUAAAAUUUUAAAAUUAUUAAAUAUUCAUAUUUGUUUCAAUGUUUCAUAUUAUAAAAAUAUGGAAACAACAUUAAUACAAUAUGUAACAAUAUAUUAAUCAUAGGGAUUGUAUAGUAUAAUAAUUAAAUCUGUCUAAUUAAUUUCUUCUUUAAUAAUGAAUCAAUUUCUUGUUUACAAUAUUCUAAAAGCUUUUCAUUCAUUUGAAUCGGCCUAGCUUUGGUGGGAAUUUUGGACUCAUCAACAUUUUGAAUGUAAGGUAAACUUAUUUCAUGUUUCUUUCUUGACCAAAAAGCAUUAGGAAGAUCAGAACAAAUUUCAUUUUGAAAAAGAUCUUGAAUCUCUUUUAUUUUCUUUUUAACUUUAUCUUCUAAAAGUUGUUCAUCUACUUUUUUAUAUUGAAUUUCUUUUGAUAGAUAAUUUAUAUGAGCUUUCUUUCUUUGAAUUAAAUUUAUAUUCUUAUUUAUUGAAUCACUUUGAACUUGAUGUAUUUCUUUUUUAGUUAAUGGAUAUAUAAAAGGAAAAAAUAUGGCAUUUCCUAAUAUUGUAGUUUUGACACCUUCAUCAUUUACUUGAAACGGAUAGAGUAAGGUAAUAAAAGGAGUUCCUAAUAUUAAAGGUUCACUCAUAUUUUGUACUAAUAUAAAUUGAGUUCUAAAACAAUAAUUAUCUUGACAUAUAUGAACAUUUUGAAGUUUAUAUUCUAUUUCUAAUUUUCCUUUAUUAGCAGCAAAAAGUUCUUGUCAUGUUUUUUCAUAAUAUUUAGUAGGAAUUAUUCCUUCUUGAAUACAAUUCAUAUCAGCUCCUGAGUCUAUUAAUGCUACUAUUUCUAUUUCAAAAUCUUCAACUAUAAGUUUUACAUUUGUAUACCAUCUUUGAAAAUCUAUUUUUGAUAUUGUAUUUAUAAAUGAUUCUAUAGGAGUUAUUUUAUUAGGUAUUAUUAUUCCUGGUUCUUGGUUUUCAGUAGUUUCAACUAAAUCUUGCUUAUAUUGUAUUACAUUUCUAAUUUGUUCAUUCUCUUGUUUUAUUUGAUCAUUUUCUUGUUUUAUUAUUUCAUUUUCUAAUUUUAUUUGUUCAUUAUCUAAUUUUAAUUGAUUUAUUUGACUUUUUAUUUCUUUUAUUUCUUCUUCCAAGUCUUUAAUGGUUAUUGGCCUUUGAGUCUUUUUGAAUCUAUUAUAAAUUUCAUCCAUUGAAUAUUGAUUAGGUUUGAUGUCUUGAGUUUUAUUUGGAUUUUCAGUGAGAAUUAAAUUUUUUAGAUUUUGUAAAUAAUUUCUUUGUAUUUCUUCAUCUUGAAUUUUGUCUACAACAUCAAAAAAUAUUUGCUUAUCUACUUUUGAAGAUAUUACAUUUAUCUUUUUGAUUUUAUUUUCUUCUUUUGAUGUUUCAUUAAUUUCUUUUGGAUUUUCUAUUUUUGUUGUUGUUGAUGUUUCUGUUGAUGUUUUUGUUUCCUUCACCUCUCCCGGGGCAGAAGAAAACAAAAUUUGAUUAAAUUUUGUUUCACUUGACUUUUGUUUUGAAUUUUCAUUUAGCUUUUGAUUAAUUUUACUUGACUCUUCUUGGAUUUUGAUUUGUUGAUCUAAUAAUUUUUUAUUAUGUGGAGAAUUUCCUAUUGCUUUUCUUGAAGUUAAUGUUGCAAUUCUUUUAAGGGGUUUCCUAUAUUUGAAAAAAGGAAUAGUCAUCUUAACUUGUUGCAUAUAUUUUUCAUAUUGUUUUCUUAAUGCAUUUCUAACUUGAGGAGGAAGUUGUUGAAAAUAAUUUCUUUUUGCAGUAUUUUCAGGAGAAAAAUAAUUUGCUUUAAUUAAUUCUACUUCAGGAACAAAAGGAUUUCUUUUAAUGUAUCUUUUCCUAAUGAUAUUUAUGUUUAAAGGAGGUUUAUCAUGAGAUAAAUUUUUUGACUCAGACUCUUCUUUAAAAAGAGAAAUUUCAAGAACAAAGUUUGAACUAUUUUUUAGUUGAUUUUCUAUUUGAUUUUAUUCUUCAUUAAAUUUUGAAUUAUUAAAUUUUAUAUGAUGACUCUAUGAUGAUGCAGCUAAUGAUGCAGCAGAUAAUGAUGCAGAUGAUGAUGCAGUUGAUGCAUUUGAAAAUCUCAUUAUCUUAUAUGAAGAACUUUCUAAAUUAUAUGCAGAAUUAUUUAAUGCAGAUGCAGAAUUACCAUGGGACCUAAGAGAUGUGGAAGAACUAUUUCUACUUAAUUCCCUAAUAAUAUUACUCAUUGUCACAGACAAUAAUCACAAUUUUGUUCUUAAUCAAUUCAGAUAAUUUCCUGAACAGGGACCACCACAAGCGGAUCAACACGGGACUUAUGCUCCUUCUGCCCUUAAACACCGCUAUCAAAGGCUGACCAAUCCGUUCACAGGAAAUUCAACCCGAACUAAGUCAGGACUAAAUCUGCGAUUAGUUACUGUUCCAACUCGUAACACCACUCGGUUCUCAAGCAGAAAAUGGCUCUGAUACCAUUUGCACCCAGGACAUACAACAGUUCGUGCACACAAUAAUUAAAUAAUUAAAUCUGUCUAAUUAAUUUCGUCUUUAAUAAUGAAUCAAUUUCUUGUUUACAAUAUUCUAAAAGCUUUUCAUUAAUUUGAAUCGCCCUAGCUUUGGUGGGAAUUUUGGACUCAUCAAAAUUUUGAAUAUAAGGCAAACUUAUCUCAUGUUUCUUUCUUGACCAAAAAGCAUUAGGAAGAUCAGAACAAAUUUCAUUUUGAAAAAGAUCUUGAAUCUCUUUUAUUUUCUUUUUAACUUUAUCUUCUAAAAGUUGUUCAUCUACUUUUUUAUAUUGAAUUUCUUUUGAUAGAUAAUUUAUAUGAGCUUUUUUUCUUUGAAUUAAAUUUAUAUUCUUAUUUAUUGAAUCACUUUGAACUUGAUGUAUUUCUUUUUUAGUUAAUGGAUAUAUAAAGGGAAAAAAUAUGGUAUUUCCUAAUAUUGUAGUUUUGACACCUUCAUCAUUUACUUGAAAAGGAUAGAGUAAGGUAAUAAAAGGAGUUCCUAAUAUUAAAGGUUCACUCAUAUUUUAUACUAAUAUAAAUUGAGUUCUAAAAUAAUAAUUAUCUUGACAUAUAUGACCAUUUUGAAGUUUAUAUUCUAUUUCUAAUUUUCCUUUAUUAGCAGCAAAAAGUUCUUGUCCUGUUUUUUCAUAAUAUUUAGUAGGAAUUAUUCCUUCUUGAAUACAAUUCAUAUCAGCUCCUGAGUCUAUUAAUGCUACUAUUUCUAUUUCAAAAUCUUCAACUAUAAGUUUUACAUUUGUAUACCAUCUUUGAAAAUCUAUUUUUGAUAUUGUAUUUAUAAAUGAUUCUAUAGGAGUUAUUUUAUUAGGUAUUAUUAUUCCUGGUUCUUGGUUUUCAAUAGUUUCAGCUAAAUCUUGUUUAUAUUGUAUUACAUUUCUAAUUUGUUCAUUCUCUUGUUUUAUUUGAUCAUUUUCUUGUUUUAUUAUUUCAUUUUCUAAUUUUAUUUGUUCAUUAUCUAAUUUUAAUUGAUUUAUUUGACUUUUUAUUUCUUUCGUGCACGUAAUUAUUAAAUAAUUAAAUCUGUCUAAUUAUCUCCAAGCAUAAAAACAGAAAUAUUUAAUGUCUAAUACUGUGUAAUUUAUUGCAGAAAUUUAAGCAUAAUAACACAAAUAUUUGAAUCUGAAAAUAUUGUUUAUUGAAAAUAUACCUUGAUUACAGAGAGUUGAUGACUACAGGUUGUUGACAGCAGAGGGAUGACUCUAACUCAAAGAAGAAAAUUAUAAGAGAAAAAUUUUUGAACUCUCAGAAUUUUUGCACUCUCUAAUAUUUUUUCUUUGAGUUAGAGUCAUCCCUCUGCUGUCAACAACCUGUAGUCAUCAACUCUCUGUAAUCAAGGUAUAUUUUCAAUAAACAAUAUUUUCAGAUUCAAAUAUUUGUGUUAUUAUGCUUAAAUUUCUGCAAUAAAUUACACAGUAUUAGACAUUAAAUAUUUCUGUUUUUAUGCUUGGAGAUAAUUAGACAUAUUUAAUCAUUUAAUUAUUGUGUGCACGAACUGUUCUAUGUCCUGGGUGCAAAUGGUAUCAGAGCCAUUUUCUGCUUGAGAACCGAGUGGUGUUACGAGUUGGAACAGUAACUAAUCACAGAUUUAGUCCUAACUUAGUUCGGGUUGAAUUUCCUGUGAACGGAUUGGUCAGCCUGUGAUAAGCGGUGUUUAAGGGCAGAAGGAGCGUAAGUCCCGUGUUGAUCCGCUUGUGGUGGUCCCUGUUCAGGAAAUUAUCUGAAUUGAUUAAGGAUAAAAUUGUGAUUAUUUUCUGUGACAAUGAGUAAUAUUAUUAGGGAAUUAAGUAGAAAUAGUUCUUCCAGAUCUCUUAGGUCUCAUGAUAGUUNNNNNNNNNNNNNNNNNNNNNNNNNNNNNNNNNNNNNNNNNNNNNNNNNNNNNNNNNNNNNNNNNNNNNNNNNNNNNNNNNNNNNNNNNNNNNNNNNNNNGCAUUCAAUAAUUCUGCAUAUAAUUUAGAAAGUUCUCCAUAUAAGAUACUGUGAUUUUCAAAUGCAUCAACUGCAUCAUCAUCUGCAUCAUUACCUGCUGCAUCAUUAGCUGCAUCAUCAUGGAGUCAUCAUAUAAAAUUUAAUAAUUCAAAAUUUAAUGAAGAAUAAAAUCAAAUAGAAAAUCAACUAAAAAAUAGUUCAAACUUUGUUCCUGAAAUUUCUCUUUUUGAAGAAGAGUCUGAGUCAAAAAUUUUCUCUCUUGAUAAACCUCCUUUAAAUAUAAAUAUCAUUAGAAAAAAAUACAUUAAAAGAAAUCCUUUUGUUCCUGAAAUAGAAUUAAUUAAAGCAAAUUAUUUUUCUCCUGAAAAUACUGCAAAAAGAAAUUAUUUUCAACAACUUCCUCCUCAAGUUAGAAAUACAUUAAGAAAACAAUAUGAAAAAUAUAUGCAACAAGUUAAGAUGACUAUUCCUUUUUUCCUUUGGUUUUUCAAAUAUAGGAAACCCCUUAAAAGAAUUGCAACAUUAACUUCAAGAAAAGCAAUAGAAAAUUCUCCACAUAAUAAAAAAUUAUUAGAUCAACAAAUCAAAAUCCAAGAAGAGUCAAGUAAAAUUAAUCAAAAGCUAAAUGAAAAUUCAAAACAAAAGUCAAGUGAAACAAAAUUUAAUCAAAUUUUGUUUUCUUCUGCCCCGGGAGAGGUGAAGGAAACAAAAACAUCAACAGAAACAUCAACAACAACAAAAACAGAAAAUCCAAAAGAAAUUAAUGAAACAUCAAAAGAAGAAAAUAAAAUCAAAAAGAUAAAUGUAAUAUCUUCAAGAGUAGAUAAGCAAAUAUUUUUUGAUGUUGUAGACAAAAUUCAAGAUGAAGAAAUACAAAGAAAUUAUUUACAAAAUCUAAAAAAUUUAAUUCUCAUUGAAAAUCCAAAUAAAACUCAAGACAUCAAACCUAAUCAAUAUUCAAUGGAUGAAAUUUAUAAUAGAUUCAAAAAGACUCAAAGGCCAAUAACCAUUAAAGACUUGGAAGAAGAAAUAAAAGAAAUAAAAAGUCAAAUAAAUCAAUUAAAAUUAUAUAAUGAACAAAUAAAAUUAGAAAAUGAAAUAAUAAAACAAGAAAAUGAUCAAAUAAAACAAGAGAAUGAACAAAUUAGAAAUGUAAUACAAUAUAAACAAGAUUUAGCUGAAACUAUUGAAAACCAAGAACCAGGAAUAAUAAUACCUAAUAAAAUAACUCCUAUAGAAUCAUUUAUAAAUACAAUAUCAAAAAUAGAUUUUCAAAGAUGGUAUACAAAUGUAAAACUUAUAGUUGAAGAUUUUGAAAUAGAAAUAGUAGCAUUAAUAGACUCAGGAGCUGAUAUGAAUUGUAUUCAAGAAGGAAUAAUUCCUACUAAAUAAUAUGAAAAAACAGGACAAGAACUUUUUGCUGCUAAUAAAGGAAAAUUAGAAAUAUAAUAUAAACUUCAAAAUGUUCAUAUAUGUCAAGAUAAUUAUUGUUUUAGAACUCAAUUUAUAUUAGUACAAAAUAUGAGUGAACCUUUAAUAUUAGGAACUCCUUUUAUUACCUUACUCUAUCCUUUUCAAGUAAAUGAUGAAGGUGUCAAAACUACAAUAUUAGGAAAUACCAUAUUUUUUCCCUUUAUAUAUCCAUUAACUAAAAAAGAAAUACAUCAAGUUCAAAGUGAUUCAAUAAAUAAGAAUAUAAAUUUAAUUCAAAGAAAACAAGCUCAUAUAAAUUAUCUAUCAAAAGAAAUUCAAUAUAAAAAAGUAGAUGAACAACUUUUAGAAGAUAAAGUUAAAAAGAAAAUAAAAGAGAUUCAAGAUCUUUUUCAAAAUGAAAUUUGUUCUGAUCUUCCUAAUGCUUUUUGGUCAAGAAAGAAACAUGAGAUAAAUUUGCCUUAUAUUCAAAAUUUUGAUGAGUCCAAAAUUCCCACCAAAGCUAGGCCGAUUCAAAUGAAUGAAAAGCUUUUAGAAUAUUGUAAACAAGAAAUUGAUUCAUUAUUAAAGAAGAAAUUAAUUAGACCCUCAAAAUCUCCUUGGAGUUGUGCCGCUUUUUAUGUUCAAAAUGCUGCUGAAAUAGAAAGAGGAGCACCUAGAUUAGUCAUUAACUAUAAACCUUUAAAUAAAGUAUUACAAUGGAUAAGAUACCCUAUUCCUAAUAAGCAAGAUUUAUUCAAAAGACUUCAUAGUUCUGUCAUUUAUUCAAAAUUUGAUAUGAAAGCAGGAUUCUGGCAGGUUCAAAUAAGAGAAGAAGAUAGAUACAAAACUGCUUUUACUGUCCCUUUUGGUCAUUAUGAAUGGAAUGUCAUGCCCUUUGGUCUCAAAAAUGCCCCUUCUGAAUUUCAAAAUAUUAUGAAUGAUAUUUUUAAUCCUCAUUUUUAGUUCAUCAUUGUAUAUAUUGAUGAUGUUUUAGUAUUUUCUGAUUCAUUAUAGAAACAUUUUAUUCAUUUGAAAAAGUUUUUUAAUGUCAUUAAAGCAAAUGGAAUGGCUUGUUUUGCUCCAAAAAUGAAAUUGUUUCAAACAAAAAUCAGAUUUUUAGGUCAUGAAAUUUUUCAAGGAAAAACAAAACCGAUUCAAAGGUCAAUAGAAUUUGCUGACAAAUUUCCUGAUGAAAUUAAAGAUAAAAAACAAUUGCAAAGAUUUUUAGGUUGUUUAAAUUAUGUUUCUGAUUACUUCAAAGAUUUAAGAAUCAUUUGUGAACCAUUAUACAAAAGACUUAGAAAAAAUGCACCUGCAUGGACUGAGCAUCAUACUAGUCUAGUCAAAGAAAUUAAACAAAGAGUCAAACGUUUACCAUGCAUCAGCAUCCCUCAUCCAAAUGCAUUACUCAUUGUAGAAUCAGAUGAAUCUAAUUUAGGUUAUGGAGGCAUAUUAAAACAAGAAUAUAACAAUCAAGUGCAUAUAGUUAGAUAUCAUUUAGGGAUCUGGUUGGGCGCUCAAAUAAAUUAUUCAACUGUCAAAAAAGAAGUUUUAUCAAUAGUUUUAUGUAUUUCAAAAUUUCAAAGUGAUUUAAUAAAUAAAAAAUUUCUUUUGAAAAUUGAUUGCAAAGCUGCAAAAGAUAUUUUACAAAAAGAUGUUAAAAAUUUAGUUUCAAAACAAAUUUUUGCAAGAUGGCAAGCUUUACUUUCAAAUUUUGAUUUUGAAAUCGAAUUUAUUAAAGGAGAGUUGAAUUUCCUUCCUAACUUCCUUACUAGGGAGUUUCUGCAGGGUAAGGAUCCUUCUCCAUCCUAAUGGGCACUCCCGUUAGGCCUCAGCUUCCUUCAUCAUCUAAGAAAACCAAAGCUUCAUAUGCUAUGAUUUCAAACUUUUCAAAUGUUCGUCUUACUUUUCCUUUACAAACAUCAAAUUCCUUUCAAGUUUUGAGUCCAGAUUUUCCUCCUCUUCAACCUUCAAAAAGUUUUAUUCAAGCUUCUAAAUCAUCCCCUAAAAAUAUUUUUUUCCAAAGACAAUCCAGCCCUAACACUAUUUCAACCUUACCUUCUCCUUCUCAGUCUCCUUCUCAAUCUCCUUCUCCUUCAUUUUCUUAUAGUCAAUAUGUCAAAAAACCCAAAACAUUAGAAAUUGCUUUCAUUGAGCCAGAGUUCAAUUUUGAAGAGAUUCCUAAAAUUCUUCCUUACAUCUUUCCUCAAGGAGUCAACUUCAAUUCGAAUGAUCCUUUGAAAACUCGUCAAUUCUAUGAGUUCAUCUUGGUGGACAUUGAUUCAGUUGAAAUUACUCAUAACACUGACAAAAACAAUCCUCAGAGGAUUGCUUUUUCCAAAUGUCAAAUUCUCAGAGUCAUGACCAUUGCAGAUUGGAAUAAAAAACCCUUCACUUGUAAAGCUUUUAGUCAACCUUUACAUCCCAUGAGCUACAAUUACAUAGACUACAUGGAUGCUUGGUACAAUAUGUUUUACUUACAAAGCUACCAGCAUUCCUGGUUCAUCCAAUUUUCAAGAAAUUGCAAUACCAAAUUUCCUGCUUGGUUUCAAAAAUGGUGGACUUUCUUUGGUCUACUAGAUUCAAUAUUUCCUCCUGAUAUUCAAGAGAAAUUCAACUUCUACAAGAGGAAGACUUCAUCACAGAAUAUCACUCAGCCCAGACUCCUGACGUUCUGUUCGAGAUUAAGAAUUCCAUGGAUUCUCACAUGGAACAUCAUCAAGAAGCAAGAGCAACCUCUUCCUUUUCCAUUAUCUCUUUCUAGAGAAUUCAGCAUCAAAUGGUGGGACAAAUUCAAUCAUGAUUUUGUAUGUCAACAGAAGGUUUUGCAAUUAAUUUCAACAAGACCCGGAUCGUCAUAUUCAAAGGAUUCAUCAAGAUCUUCUCAAUGACCGACUCAAGAAGAAUUCCUAACUUUGAAAAGCAAAUGUCAAGCUUCAUUAGCAGCCACCACUGAUUUAGAGCAAUAUCGUCAAGGACUCAUUCAAACGCUCAAACAGUUUGGAGAUCAAGAAAAUGAAGAAACUGAAGAUGCAGUUUUAUCAGAUGACUCAUACGUAGACCCUGAGUUUAUCCUUUAUGGAGGACCUAUGGGUCAAUCCAAAUAAAAGAUUUCAAGAAAUUUUUGUACAUCUGUAUCUUUGUAAAUUUGCUUCCCUGUGUUUAUCCAGUGUAAAAAAAAAAAAAAAAAAAAAAUGAAUAGUGAUGAAUAGUGGGUCUUGUCACCCACUUUAUCCUUGAAGGUAACGUGGAGCUUGGGGAAAGAAAGAAAAAGGUAAAGAUCUUUUACCUUCUGCAGAGAUAAUUCACUAAGGCUCCAGCUGUCUUUCACAUGAUGAAUUUCAAUAAUUUUCAAGAUUGAAUAUCAGCUCACGUCCGAAUCCUCACCUAUAAAAGGAGUUUUAACCUUCUUCAUCAGGCAGAGCUUGGAAGAGUUCCUACAGCCGAGAGAGAGCUUGGGAAGGUUUCAAGAGUUUUGAGAGAUAGUUUCAAGAGUAGAAAAAAUAUUAGAGAGUGCAAAAAUUCUGAGAGUUCAAAAAUUUUUCUCUUGUAAUUUUUUUCUUUGAGUUAGAGUCAUCCCUCUGCUGUCAACAACCUGUAGUCAUCAACUCUCUGUAAUCAAGGUAUAUUUUCAAUAAACAAUAUUUUCAGAUUCAAAUAUUUGUGUUAUUAUGCUUAAAUUUCUGCAAUAAAUUACACAGUAUUAGACAUUAAAUAUUUUUGUUUUUAUGCUUGGAGAUAAUUAGACAGAUUUAAUUAUUUAAUUAUUGCGUGCAUGAACUGUUGUAUGUCCUGGGUGCAAAUGGUAUCAGAGCCAUUUUCUGCUUGAGAACCGAGUGGUGUUACGAGUUAGAACAGUAAUUAAUCACAGAUUUAGUCCUGACUUAGUUCGGGUUGAAUUUCCUUUGAACGGAUUGGUCAGCCUGUGAUAAGCGGUGUUUAAGGGCAGAAGGAGCGUAAGUCCCGUGUUGAUCCACUUGUGGUGGUCCUUAUUCAGGAAAUUAUCUGAAUUGAUUAAGGAUAAAAUUGUGAUUAUUUUCUGUGACAAUGAGUAAUAUUAUUAGGAGAUUAAGUAGAGGUAGUUCUUCCAAAUCACUUAGGUCUAAUGAUAGUUCUGCAUCAUCAUCUGCAUCAUUAACUGCAUCAUCACUUACUCAAAAUAUAGUUAAUAGUCAAGAAAUAAAUAUUGCUCAAAUAGAAAGUCAACUUCAUAAUUGGUCAAUUCCUCACAUGAAAAUUAAUACAAUAUAUCAACAAGGAAAUUUUGAAUUUAAUCAAAAUUAUUCAAUAAAAACUGAAGAAAAAACUAUAUCUCUUAAUCAAAAUUUAGAAAGUCUUCAAUUACUAAGUCAAAAUAAUAUUAAUCAUCAUAGGAAGAAAUUUAAUUAUAUUCACAUAGGAUUAGUUCAAGUUGCUAUAAAACCUUUAUUUAGGCUAGGAUUAGAUAUUCCUGUGUUUGCAUGCCUUAGAGACGCUAGAUCUAUAAAAUUUACUGAUUCAAUACUUAGCAUGAUAGAUUCAAACCUUGCUAAUGGUCUUAUUUAUUUUAAUUGCUUUCCAAACUUUUCUAUGAACAUAAAUGAUCCUAGUAUACUUUCUAGUCUAACUUUAAAUAUUAAAACUAAAAACAUGAAUUUUGUAGAAGAAGCUCAAACUAUAGCAAUAAUUUAUAGGAUAUACUAUAAAGUCAUGACUACUCAAUUAAAUCCUAGAGCCAUAUGUCAAUCUGUUAAAGAUGAAACAUUAUUAUUACAAUAUAAUCCUAAUAAUACUCAAGCUUUUGUUCCUAAAAAAUUAAAAUGGAAUGAAAGUACUCAAGGAAGUCAAUGGAAAUUAAAAGAUUUAACCCAUCCAAAACCUACUAAACCUUUAACAACUCCUUCAAAAAUUAUUCAACAUACUGAUGGUACUAUUCAAAUAGAAUUUUCUCCAGCUUCUAGAAAUUCUUUUAAUCAAGAUUUCAUGUCUUCAAGACCUUCUACUUCAAAUGCUAGCUUAAACAGUGUCAAUUUUGUUCCAAAAAUUCCUAUUCCUGUUUAUCAACAAAAUGAAUCUCCUCCUGUGUCUCCUACUCAUUCGGAUAUGUUUCCCAAUCAAGUCAACAUAAUUCAUAAGAAAAAUUACAAAAAGACUCAUUUUACUCCUAAUGUAGAAUGGAUAAAAUCAGAUUAUUUUUCUCCUCAAAAUGAUACAAAAAGAGCUUAUUUUCAAACAUUUCCUUCUCAAACUAGAAAUGCAUUAAGAAAACAAUAUGAAAAAUAUAUGAAUCAAAAGAAAAUUACUAUUCCCUUUUUCUAUUGGUUUUUCAAACUUAAAAAACAAAGAAAACAAAUUAUAACUUUAAGAGAUAAAGAAGGACACCAAUUAGCUUUAAAACACUCAGAAAAUAUUCAAAAAAGAAUUUUAACAAUAAGCUCAGAAUUAGGUUCACAACUACCCUUAAAUAAUCAUCAAUUCAAUUUUGACAAUAAUUCAAUUUCUGCAUCACCCUUUAAAAUUCCAAGAACUAAAGAUGAACAAAGUCCCAUAAUUUACAAAGACAUUAGACAAAUUCAGCAACAAUUAAAUUAUACAAAUCAUUCUCUUCAACAUGUGAAUCAACAGACAACAAAAAUUUCUCAAUUUUUGUUUUCUUCUGUCCCGGGAGAGAGGAUAGGAGAAACAACAACAUCAAAAUUACAAUUUUCUUCAAAAGUUUCUUCAACUUUAUCAUCAUCAUCAUCAUCUUCUAAGUGUGUAGACCAACCUUUUAUUAUUCUUAUAAAUGCUGCAAAAUCAAAUAUUCAAUUAGCAACACCAACAGAAAUAAUGUUAAAAGAAAUACAAAUCAGAUUAGAUAAACUCAAUAUUAAUGGUAUCAAUCAAACCAAGAAUCAAAUUCUAACCAUAACAAAAGGAAAAUCAGAAAUCAAUAAAAUAGAAGAACAAUUCAAAAUGUCUCCUGAUUCAAUAGUAAAACCUCCUGCAACAGUCAAUGCAAUUUCUAAUAAUUUUGUAAGUAGAAAAAAUUAUUAUUCAAAACCCUCUUUUCCUGAUGUCCAAUUAGAAGAAAGAAAUUAUCAAUUAGCUGCUAGUUAUGAUGGUAGUAGUUUUUAUGAAUGGAAUAUAGAUGGAAUGAGUGAACAUCAAAUAAUAAAUUUGCUUCAUGAAAUGAUGAUGGCUGCUAAUGCAUAUAGAAUCAAGACUAGUAAUUCUGACUUUCAUGCUGCCGAUGCCUUGGUCAUAGGAUUCACUGGUUUGCUUAAAGGAUGGUGGGAUCAUUAUUUGAGUCAAAAUGAUAAAGAAUAUAUAUUAAAUGCAAAAAAGACAAUACUAAAAGAAGAAGGAACAUCAGUCCAAAGUUAUGAAGAAGAUGCUGUCAAUACUCUAAUAUUUGCAAUAACAAAACAUUUUAUAGGAGAUCCAGUCUAUUUUCAAGAAAGAACUUCUGAAAUCCUUAACAAUCUUAGAUGUCCAACACUUCAAGAUUUUAAGUGGUAUAAAGAUAUGUUUUUAGUCAAAGUUAUGUCAAGACCUGAUUGUGGAAAUCAUUAUUGGAAAGAAAAAUUUAUAGCAAGAUUACCCACCUUAUUUGCAGAAAAAGUUAGACAAAGAAUAAGAAAUAUUCAUAAUGGUAGGAUUCCUUAUGAGUCAUUAACAUAUGGAGAAUUAAUUACUUUUGUUAAUAAUGAAGGUUUAGCCCUUUGUACUGAUCUCAAAUUAAAAAGUCAAAUGAAAAAAGAAAAACAAGAUAAUAGAAAAGAAUUAGGAAAAUUUUGUUCAUAUUAUGGUUAUGAUACAUUAGUUGCCCCUUCAAAAAGAAAAAAUAAACAAAAUAAAAUAAAAAGUAAAAAACCCUCAACAGAAUCAAAAUUUCAAAAGAAGUUUGUAAAAUCUACUCCUAAUAAAUCAAAACCUCCAAACAAAUCAAAUUUAAAAAAGAAAACACCUACUUGUUAUAAAUGUGGAAAAGUAGGUCAUUAUUCAAGAGAUUGUCAAUUAGAAAAUAAAAUCAAUUCAUUAGAAAUAAGUGAUAAACUCAAAAAUUUAAUGAUAGGAUUAAUGAUUGAUAAAGAAAAUGAUGAAUCAAGUGAAAAUUAUGAAUCAAAAGAAGAUAAUCAGAUCCUCAUAACUCAAGAAAUAUCAAGUGAAGAGUCAAGUCUAGAAGAAGAAUCAGAUAAUCAAAAAGAUUGUGAUGGUAUUUGUGCAUGCUCAUAUAAGUCAAUAAAUGUGAUUUCAAAAUAUUCAAAAACUCAUUUUAACAUCAUUAUUAUAAAUUAUGUUCCCCUCAUAAACUCAAUAUAUUUUCAAAUUUGGUAUGAUAAAGACAAAACCAUUAGAUAUUUGUUUUAUUCUUCAAUAGAGAUACUAACAUUUGAACUUUGUUUACAGAUGGAGCAAGAAAGAAUUACAUUUGGGAAAUUUACUCUUCCAGUAUUUCCUAAAUGUAAUCUGUCAUUUCGGAUUCAUAAAGAUAUUGAAGGUUUAGACAAAUCACAAAAAUGCAUUUUAGACAACCUCUGGAAUGCAAAAAGUGAUAUUCAAAAGUUGGAAGCUUUAAAUGCCUUAUCUUUCCAUUUUAAACAGUUAAAUGAUAAAUUAGAAAGUUUUUCUAACCCUUCAAGUUCUGAUAUACAUUGCACCCCAAUGGAUAUAGAUCUUGAAAAUUUCAUUUGCAGGAAAAAAGCAAAAGGAUCCAAAGAUGCAUUUUCAAAAGAUUUUCAAAAUGAAUUUCAAAAAGAGCUUUCAAAACCAAAUGAAGAUUCAAAACUUUCUAAGGAAAGUCAAGAAUGUCAAAUUUCCAGAUUUUCAUUUUUCAAGUUAAAAAAUUUGGACCUUCUUGAAAGCAUUAGACAGAUGAUAUGUGAAAAGGCUAAAGCUACAGGAGAAGCAAAGCAAGAGCAUAUCAUGCAAUUUCUUGCUGACUGUAGCACUUUUGGAAUUACUAUUCAAGGGAUGAGCUUCACUUGGAUUUCUUGUUAUGACAACACUUAUAAUAAUUGUUCAAAGACCGAUCCCUUGUGUAGAGAAAUUCCAUUAGAAAGGCAUGACUGUAAGUGUGCUCUUACUUACAGUAUAUGCAAAGUCAACAUUGACCUAGACAGUUAUAAACCAAUAGUCAUUAAAUUCAACAAUGAGUCAAUAGAGCUAACUCCAACCCUCCUCAUGGACUAUGGAGUUCUUUAUCAAUUGAUUUUCUCUCAUCUUGAUCAAACUGAUAAAUUUGGAAGAAAAUUAGCUGUCUGUGUUUUAAAUGCCUUCAUUAAUGAUUUCAAAUCUGUUGAACUCAUCAUAGAAAGUAAAUCUCCUGAAUGGUCGAAUGAUGGAGGAGUCUACCCUGCUCAACAUCUCAUUUUGUUCAAAGCAAAUCAGAGAAAAUAUCAGUUGUUUGGUACAGAGGACCCUUGGCCCUGUACUAAAUCCAGUCUCAAAAAACAAAUCAGACAUUGGAGAUCAAGAAUGAUUGCCAGAGACCUUGAUUCUGAGAUUUAUAGUUCUUCUAACUAUAAUCUCAUUGCUGAAGACAAUAUUCAAAAAAUCAUCUCUGCAAAUAACUUUCCUAAAAUUCCUCUUUUGUUUCAAACUCAAUUUACUUAUCUUGUUGAUAAGUACAAAAAAGAAUAUGUCCUUGAAGAAGAAGCCAGAAAAACUUUUGAAAAAUAUCUCUUAGAAAUGCUCAGUUAAGAGAUAUCAAGAAUCUUUUGUACAUCUGUAUAUGCUCCCUUGUAAUUAUCCAGUAAAAAAAAAAAAAAAAAAAAAAAGUAUAUAAAGUCUGCAGGUGUGAAGUGAAAAAAAAAAAAAAAAAAAAAGUGAAUAGUGUUUUGUGAAUAGUAAAAUUCGCCUUUUACUAUGACUCAAAAGUAAAAAGCAAGAAGGUGACUCAUUAGCCAUGUGAUAAAAAUGAAGAGGAAGAAAAGAACCUUACCUCCUGCAAUCUCCAUACACGUGGAAGACAUCAAAGAGACAAAGCCUUUUUUAAGCCCAUAGCCUCUACUAUAAAUAAGACUCCAAGGCUUCUUCCAGAGGCAGAGUUCCAAUAGCCGAGAGAGAGCUUGGGAAGGUUUCAAGAGUUCUGAGAAAUAGUUUCAAGAGUAGAAAAAAUAGAGAGUGCAAAAAUUCUGAGAGUUCAAAAAAUUUUCUUUUGUAAUUUUCUUAGAGUUAGAGUCAUACCUCUGCUGUCAACAACUUGUAGUCAUCAACUCUGUAUAAUCAAGGUAUAUUUUCAAUAAACAAUAUUUUCAGAUUCAAAUAUUUGUGUUAUUAUGCUUAAAUUUCUGCAAUAAAUUAGACAGUAUUAGACAUUACAUAUUUCUGUUUUUAUGCUUGGAGAUAAUUAGACAGAUUUAAUUAUUUAAUUAUUGCGUGCAUGAACUGUUGUAUGUCCUGGGUGCAUUGAAUAUAAUUUACUUUCAAAUCUUAAAUAUUUAUAUUAAAAUUUUCUUUUACUUAUUAUUUAUUAUUUAUAUAUUAUUAAAUAGAAGAAUACAAGUGUAGACCCCUUAAAAGACCAAGGGUUUUUCCAGUUGGUUUGAGGGACCACCGGGAGAUUUUUUUUGAAGUGAGGAGGGGGACCCAUUUUCUGCCAGGAAGGAGCUGCAUUGGACACGUGGACACGGCAGAGGCAGGGGCGACCAUGCUGGUUGUUGAGGAGCCCAUGCUUGCUGAUAUGGGUGAACAGCAGGGCAAGUAGUGACUUGCCAAGGAAGGAAAGAAAAAAGAGUAAGAAAAAAAGAAAAAUGGCAGAGGGGUGCGGAAGAGAGGAGGAUUUUUUUCAAAAAAAGAAACAGGUGGGGAAGAAGGUUUUCUGGUGCUAAGAAGGGAGGACAUCUAGUGCAAUUUACAGGUAUAUUCAUAUUUGACCAUACUUACUGUUAUUCUGAGCAUCACUCCCAUGUCUUUGUUGAUUUACUUGACGUUUUUUUACUUAUGCUGUUGGUUCCUUCUCCUUUGCAUCAAUCUGGCUUGAAUAAUGGAUGAGGGUCUCUACCAUAUUCAUUGUGGCAUCCAGAUAUAUGUAUGGUAUUGUUUUUUUGUUGUUGGUUUUGUGUGGUGGAAUCCAUUUUCUUCUCACCAGCAUGAGUGCUGAGAACCAUGCAAACCGGGACUGCAUCUUCCCCCCCCCCCCCACUCUCUCUCUCUCUCUCAAUGGUUCUUCUCAUUCUUCUUUCCCUUGCUUCACUCCUCUCAUUUCUCACCUUGAUUCACGCUUGAAUCCUCGGCGUUUACGGCAAGAGUGUCACCCCGGCAACCCUCUCCAUCUUCGUCACCGUCACCCACUUCCGCUCGCCUGACUAUGCUCUUCCCGGCGACAAUGGCGGCUGGUGCAACUCUUUCCUUGUCCCCACUUCAACCUUGUCGCGCCCGUGUUUCUUAAGACCGCCGGGUACCAGACCGGAAUUGCCUCCGUUGCCUUCCGUCGGGUACCCUGCUAAAGGAGUGGCUGCUUGUAGAGUGGGUUCAACUAUCCCGUUGUCCACUGAUCACGAACCUGACAGAUCUGAUGAACGUCAAAGGAUUGAAGACGCUGGAGGUUUCGUUAUUUGGGCAGGAAUCUGGCGGGUUGGUGGUGUUCUUUCUGUUUCUUGUGCAUUUGGGGAUGAACUUCUUAAGGCAUCAUGUUGUUGCUGAUCCAGAGAUUCAAGAAGAAGAAAAUGAUGGUUUUCAUAAUUAUUGCAAGUGAUGGACUCUGGGAUGUCUUCCCAAAUAAAGAGGUCGUGAUGGAGAUUAAGGUUUUAGGCUUGCCCAUGAUGACAAUAGAUAUGGGCUUGAGUUGGAGCCCAAGCCCAGGUCUGUGAUGGAGUUUAGAGUUUUGGGCUUGCCCAUUGGUGGUAGAUAUUGGGCUUGAGAAGCAGCCCAACCCAAGCAUGUUGGUGGAGGGCCUCAUGCUCUCCAUGCCAACCACCCUCAUGGCCCAUGUCUGCAUUGAAUUAGCCCAUUGGGCUGCUCCCAUCCUAAAUAAAUCUUUAAGCCUCUAAUUUUCGUAAUUCAUUAAUUUAUUUAUUUAGUCUUAUUUUUCAUCUUAUUUUGCUUUCACCUUUUUUUUUUUUAACACAACUUAAAGUCAAUUAAAAAACGAAUUAUUAGGGUUGAAUAUCAUUUUUAAAACUAAAAAUAAUUCAUAUGUUAUCUUCUCUUCCUUAGUGGUGUUUAAUCAUCCUAUAUGAAAUUUUUUUAUAUAAUUAGACGAUGUCGGUUUCAAUGAAUUUUCUACAUUUCAAAUUUUAAGUCCCAUCUUCAAAAACUUAUGUCUUUUAGAACCAUUCUUCAAAAAUCCGACUUCCUAAAUUAAUUUUCAAUUUCAAAUAUUCGACUAUUUACUUUCAUCCGUUUAGAUAUUAUUCUUAUUAUUAUUACUAUUAUUAUUCCGUAUUUAUCUAUUUAAUUCUUCUAAAAAUUCCAAUCAUUAAAAUUCAAAUUCUUCAAAAAAUGUGACUUCUUAAAUUAAUUUUCAAUCUCAAAAUUUUCACUAUUCAAAUCCACUCAUUUAAAUAUUAUGUUUGUUAAUUAUUAUUAUUAUUUCGUAUAUAUUUAUCCUCUUCUAAGAAUUGCAUUCAUUAAAGUCCAAUUCCUUCAAAAAUCCCAUAUCCUAAUUUAAUUUUCAUUCCUAAAAGUUCCAUUAUUCGUCCGAAUGUUACUUUCGUCAAUUAGAAUUAUCAUCCCAUGUUUAUUUAUUCAUUUAAAGUCUAAUCCUUCAACAAUCCAACGUCCUAAUUUAAUGUUCAGUCCUAAAAAUUCCACUAUUCGUCUAAACGUUAUUUUUAUCAAUUAGAAUUAUUAUCUCGUAGCCAUCUAAUUAUUUAAAGUAUAAUCCUUCAAAAAUUCCACGUCUUAAUUUAAUUUUUCAAUCCUAAAAAUUCUACAAUUCGUUUAAAUCUUAUUUUCAUCAAUUAGAAUUAUAAUCUCAUACUUAUCUAUUUAUUUAAAGUCUAAUCCUUCAAAAAUCCAACAUCCCAAUUUAAUUUUCAGUCUCAAAAAUCCCACUACAUUUUUUUAUUCAUUUAAAUAUCAUUUUUGUUAAUCGCUAUUUCUGCGUUCACUUAUUUCUUUUUUCUAAAAAUUCCAAUAAUUAAAGUUCAAUCAUUCAAAAAUCCGACUUUCAAACUUAAUUUUCAAAAUCUCACUAUUCACUUUUCGUUCAAACAUCAUUUUUGCCAAAAUCCGAUUUUCUAAUUUAAAUUUUAAUCUCACAAAAUCUCACUAUUCACUUUCAUCCGUCCAAAUAUCGUUUUUGAUUAAUUAGUAACAUUAUUCCAUACUUACCUAUUUAUUUCUCUUAAAAAUCUCAAUCAUUAAAGUUUAAUUCUUCAAAUUUUCGAUUUCUAAAUUUAGCUAUCUGAAACUCCAAUUGUCCUAUCUCCGAACUUAAUUUUCAGUUCCCAAUAUUCCAAUCAUCGUAUUUAUCCAGUUACUCAUUUAUUAUUAUCAUUAUUAUUUUUACCAUUUUAUUCAUUCAUUUCUAAGAAGUCCGCCUUCAAAUGAUUUUCAAGAUUUCCAAUUUUUAUAAAUCAACUUUCAUAAUUUCUACUUCUUAAAUAACUUACAAUUUUGUUUUCUUUCAAAAUUUAACUCCCAAAGUCCCAAUUUUCGUAACUUAAAUUUUUUCCUAAAAACCCCGAACUUUCAAAUAAUUCUUCAAAAUCCCAAUGUCCUUUUCAAAUUUAAUUUCUAAAUUCUCAUUCUUACAUUUAAUUCCUAAGAAUUCAAUUUUCAAAUGAUCUCUAAGACUCCAAUUUUCAAAUGAAUUCAAAAAAUCCAUUUUUCCUUCGAACAAUUUUGAUUUCUGUUCUGUGAUGCAUGUGAUGUGUUUCGUGUUCUGUAUUGUGCACUGACCCCAUUUUUAUGAUAGCGCAUUGUUCGUUCGUGGCCUAGGUACGCAUCCACUCUCUUUCUGGUCAUUCUCUAUGCAUGUUUUGAUUCCCAUAUGUACAUGAUCGAUUUGAGUAUCCAUUGAUUUUCCUAUUGAUUGUCAUGUCAACUUCAUUUUAUUAGUAGAGACCCGACUUUAGGGACUUAGAGGGGUGCUACGAUUUUUACCGCACCUUCCCAAUAAGUAACUUGACCCCUGAGUCCGAUCCGGUUUUUCACAGACCACCUUUUCCAAAAUAAGGAGUCGCACUUAGGGUUUUCUUUCUUAUUUUGUUACCCUUUAAAAAUAAAACAAAAAUAAGUGGCGACUCCAAGUCACUUUCUUAAUCAAUAAAAAUCAUUUUUCAAACAAAAAUCGAGUCCGCCAUCGAGUGAAAAACGCAUGAGCCGAAAUGCAGGGUCCACAAUAUAAUAUUUGGUUUUUUACUAAAUGGUAAAAAUAACUUUUUAAAACAAUAAAAACAUAAUCAAUAUGACUUCUAUUCUAUUAAUACUUAAUAUCUAACAUAAAUAAAAUAAUAAAAAACAAAUAAUUUAAUAUUUAAUACUAUUAAGUUGUAUUUAAAAUUAACUUAAAUUAAGUUAUAUUUAGAUUUAAGUGAAAAAAAAUAUACAAACAAACAAACACCACCUUGCCCAAGAAAAAUUAGUUUUCUUCAAGUAAGGUUGGCAAUCAUCCUUUUCUAUAGUGUUUUCAUACCAAUGUGAGGUACAAAAAUAGCUUGUUUUUAUUUCUAUGUUUGCAUAUAUAACUUAAUUUUUAAAUUUCGGAUAAUAGAAAAAUAAUUGAAAGAAAUAUGCAAAUAGAAUAGCUAAGAAGUCAUCGUAUCAUAAAGAGCUUCCUAUACACAGUGAGAAAAUAAAGGCUGAUCUUAAAUGAGAAAAACACUCAAGAGACGGGGAAGGGAGGGGGGGUGUGAAUUGGGUUUUUAAAAAAUCUUUUUGAACACAAUAAACUCAAGCACAAUAGAAGCAAAUAUAAAGAGAUAGAAUUGGAUAAAUCAAACUCAGCUUUUUAUAGUGGUUCGACACUUUCUUGCCUACGUCCACUCUCAUCAAGCUCAUAAUCGAGUGAGGGUUCCACUAACUUGAAGCUUCAACCAAGCUUCUAAUCUCCUUUACACUUGGAUUCCGACUCCAAUGGGUUCUUAUACAAUUUCUUCAAGAUUCAACUCACUUGAAGGCUUUAACACUCAAUUUUACAAGAAUGAAUCCCUCAACCUAACUCAAUAAUAGCUCAAAUACAAAUUGAAGCUAGGAUGAAUCACAAAUGUGCACUAAAGGAUAUGCAAGUGAAGAUUUAAUGCACCAAGAAAGAAAUGAGAGCUUUUAAGGCAAGAACAAGUGGGUAGACAAAUAAAUGCAGGUGUUCUCUUAGUCAUAAAUGAAGUAGAGCUCUCUAUUUAUAGGUUUCUAACCUUGGGAGUCAAGAAAAUCAAAAAGCAGCCUCAACCGAUCGAGAUAGGGGUCAACCGAUUCACUAGCCGUUGGAGCAUUUAAUGCUUUAACAAGUUACCAUUGCUUCAACCAGACCUCGACCGGGAAUAAUGAUACCUCGAUUAGGAAAGGAAGACUAUUGAAAGAGAGAGAGUGUGUUUUUACACUCCUCGACCGGAUCUCGAUCGGACAUAGGGAACCGAUCGACCGAUACCCUAUCCGGUUGAGCCAAUUGGUCAAUGUUUCGACCGGUUCACCAUUUUGGGCUCGAAAACCUAUCUUUUUCAGUUUUUUUUUUCUCUUCUAACACUUAAGCAAGGUCUUUAGAUAAAUUAAUAUGUCAAUUUUGAAACGUUUUGUCUAAGGUACAUUUGAUAAAACUUGGGUUUUAAUGAAACUAUAACUUUAAAAAAUAAACCGAGUUUUUCAAAGAAGUAUGAAAUGAUAUGUAAAAUCUAACUGUACUCAUGCAUUCAUAUUACAUUUGUUUCUUAUAAUUAAAGGUCUUCCAAACAUCUUGAUCUUGCAUCCAUUAGGUCAUUUGAUGAAUUUCUAAAUUAAUACAUAAGAUUCUUUACAAUUCAAAUCAAUUAGUAACUUAACCAUGAUUUGUUAUCAUUAAAACAUAAUUAAGAGAACCCUUGGGCUAACACACAGCAAUAUGUUUAAGCAGCGCUUGCAAUUGUUGGGUAUGCAAAUAGUUAUAGAGUUGAAAGAGAGAAACACAAAUAAAUAAAUAAAUAAAUAUAAAAUUAUGGAGAAUUAAAACUUUAUUGCAUUCUACCACGCUAUUAUUCAAAUAUUACAUGAUAUCUUAUUUAUGGAUACCCACACUUAACAAAAUAAAAAAUCUUAAUAUUAAAUAGAAAAACUUCUAGGAUUUGAUAACUCAAAAAUAGAGACUAAAAUAACAAUUCAAAAUAAAAUGCUUUUCUUUUUAGAAACUAAAUCUAAUUGCAAUAUUUAGAAAGUUUUUAAAUCAAAUUUAACUUUCUAACGCCCGUAAAAAUUGGAUUUUUUUAGGGUAUUUUGGAAUUUCAACAUAUCCAUAUUUUGGAACAACUCUAUAGUGAUUGGCUUCUUAAAAUAAAAUUUCAUUAUUUAAAAAUGAAAUUUUGAUAAAUUAUUUUGUUCAUAUUGCAUGAUUUUUAUUACUCUGCUUGAUAUCCAUUAACAUGAGGCUCUGAUUUCUAACAUAAUCUGAGCCACAUAAACUAAUGUCUGGAAGAGAAGCGAGUGCAGUAUAUUUUGGCAUGAAGAUGCCCCACAAUCUUUGGAUAAUGGUUUUGAAAAUGAAUGAGGGCCUUAUAUUAUGAGAAAAAUAACAAUGAACACAAUUUUUUAAUUAUUUAUUUAUAAAAUAUAUUGUUGAAUACAGGAUUCCCAUCAGGAUGCUGACAAACCAAUUAAUUAACGCGUAAAGACAACGACACUCCAACGUCUAUUUAAUAAUAUCUUAGACAAUAAAACAUCAUAUGACAAUCUAAACAACUAGGAUUGAUAAAUGAUCAUGGGAAAGCUUAUUUUAGUAAGGCGUACAUGCACCUUCUGAAAUAUAAAACUAGUAAUGAUCAAGCAGCCAUGUUGAUCGUUGGAUCGAUGAAGGAGCUGGCCCCGUUGAAUGUUGGUCAUCCAUGCCUAGUCAUGGAAACAGUGACAUUUACGAACUCAGUCGUCUCUCUGGACAUGCGAUCAGCAACAAUCUGU